rnacentral:lncRNA from 1 species
UGCACAUUUUAAGUUCUCUCUCAAGUUUAGACAUAACUGUUAUAAUUUAAAGCUUGCUCUAGACCUAAACUUGUGGGAUGAAAACUUGAUCUGAAAUCUAAGUUGUUAACGGAUACGAUAUGGGAAGGUUGAGCUGCUGUUUAUCUGUUUCUAGAGAUGCUAGAAUUCUGGAGAAUUUUAUCUUUAGAAAUCUUUAAAAUGUUGCAUGAUGAGUUCCUGUAUGAUGAGAGUUUAAAUUCCUACCACAGCCAUAUAUACAUGCUUGCUAGACUUCGAGCCACACAAUUACUUUUUUCUGCUUAUGAGCAUUGAGUGUGGUCAAGCUGUGUAGACCCUUAGGAGCUUGUCAUGUGGUUAAAUCAAGAUUCACUUGCACGUUCACUCACACAUGCUACUUCUACUCCGGAAGUACCAUCCACAUAUAUCCAUACAUUUCCAUCUUCAGAAUCACCCAAAAAUAUUCUAUUCCUAAUCCGGGAGAGAAUAGCCAAAAAUAAUUUUGUUCUUCCUUGUGUAAUAAAUGCCUCAAGAUCAAUAAAGAGUAUUAUUAUUAUGUCUUGUGUGUCUCUACUUUAUUUUUGUGCAAGAAAGCAGAAAACAAGUAUGGGGGAGAUCCCUCGACAUGCUAAACACACUCCGACUACACCACUUCACGAUUCAGGUACACACUCUACACACUUUACUUUACACAUAUAUAUUUUAGAUUAUGCAGAAUAUUGUUCCCGACAUGAUAAAAUAAAAAGAUUAAAAUAUUUCUAAUCAUGAUUAAUCUCAAUAUUUCCUGAAGACUUGCAAUUAGUAUAAAAUCAUUUUAAAACCCUGUGUUACUUAAGUCAAUUGGAAUAUGUGAUGGUAGAGUAUGAGUUUCUUAUUCUUGAUAUCAUUGUUACUUGGAGAAUUUACUUCAAAAUAUUCAAAUUUCUAGCUACCAUCCUCAGUGUUUUAUAUGCCUGAUAAAACUGAAAAUAUUAAUUAUGAUUAUAAAAGCUAUCUGCUCUGUAUUGAGUUUGUUCAAAAUGAGUUAGACCCUUGUUGAGAGAUUUAUCAUGCUCCCAAGAUCAAGACAUUGUUUCAGAAAGAUUCACUCUUCCGAAGUAUUAUUGCAUUAGAGGCAUGGGCUAUGCAAAAAUAGAAAUAUUUUGAGAAAAUAAAAAGGAGCAAGUGCUCGAUAACCUCGCAGAAAAAAAUGGACAAGUGUCCGGCAGUAGAAUUAGGGGUACCUCGGUACCCACUUAAAAAAAAGAGAAAAGAGAAAAAAAAUGAUAGCCCAUGGUCCCUCUAAUAAGCAAUAUGCCAGUAAGAGUUGACAAAGAUUUUAAUUUCCAAAGUCUUUGAUCUAAGAGUAUGACAUUUCCCUCCUCGGAUCCCGUUUUGAUCAGGCAAUAAAUCCAAAGUAAGUAUGCUUGAGAAUUUUUGCAAAAUAAAACAGCCUCAGUGAGAUAUAUAUAUAAAAGAUAAUGAGUGAUCUGAGAGAACCUAUGAGGAUCAAAAGGUAUGCUAACUUUCUUUCAAAAAUAUACAAAAACUCCAAGUGACAGGAUUGAAAAGAAAGAAUCUUUACUCUUAACCAUAUACUUCCCUGACUACAGUACACAGUGGAAUUUUAACACCCUGCAAAUUAUAUAGAGAAUGUUUUAAAUGUUUAUCCCAGAUAUUGUUCUUAACCAUCCUUUUCUCGAGGACGAGUAAAAGCCUAAGUAUGGGGGUAUUUGUUGACGGUUCUUAAGUAUCAAUUUUAAUUAUCAAAUAAACAAGAGAAAGGACCAAUAUGCAACCAUCAUCUAGACUUAGGGUUUUAUCUGACAGAAUUCCACGAGUUUUGUUGUUUAUCUGUUUCUGCAGGGGGUUAUCAGGAAAUAAGGAAGAAAGGCCCACAUGUCGGGAUUACAUAGAGAUAUCAACGCACCGCGCAAUUUUACAUCAUCUAGAAGACUCCAGAAGCCACGAGACCGAAACGGAGGCGAAACGGAGGCGAAACUGGUAGCCUGGGCGCCCGCCCCCUUGUUGGAGUCAAUUCAGGACUCCUUCGCUCGGGAUAUUCCACCGACCUAUUGGAUCAAGAAAAACAUAGUACCACCUCGGCUAUCGACCCAAAAACGCAUAGAAGGGGAGGACUAUAUAAGCAAGGCCCCCUGGCCCCUGGAGAAGACAUGAAGAAAUUAUCAUAGAGACUGAGGGGUGCCCUCGAAGGAAAACCUCUUCUCUAAUUAAUAUUUCUUUUUAGGCUUAGCAAUCAAUGUAAGGUAGAAAUAGAUCUUCUAGUUUCUACUAGAUUGAGAGAGAUAGAGUGGAGGUGUAGAGUGGAGGAAGCCCGGCCUGUCGGUGUCUACUCCAAGCUUGUACCUGCGGGAUCAAGUUCUCCUAACCCGAAGCUUGCUCCUAGGAUUCUUCAGUAAUUCGACUUCUAAAUUCUAGUAAGUUCUUGUUUUAUUGUUCUUAUGGUUUAUGAGUUUACUUUAAUCUCUUCGCGUAGAGUUUAGAGUAAUCAUUGCUGGCGUAAACGUGGUGUUUAGGCUGGGGUACUCAUAGAUAUUCCCUGACUAGCUGGACCGUGGUAGUAGUGAGGAACGUGACAAUUCCGAGCUACCUUUGUAGAUCACAUCUCGUUAGCAGGAAGGAUAGGGUUUAUAGGUGCGGGUUGAACAUCCUUUGUGGUGUCUAGAUUCCGUUAGCCUCCCCAUUAGAACAGUAGAUCAUCCUUACCAAGGUUAGAAGAAGACUACGGUUGCAGUCUUCUCUAUUUAUCACUCACAUCGAAAGACAUUCUUUGUGCCUAAAGGGAUAGUAGCAAUAGACCGGUUAGUCAGAUGCACCCUUUCUCCCAGUGGUAAAAAUAUAAAUACGAUAACUCUGGAUAACCUCCCGGGUGAAAUGCUCACCGAUAUCCGUACGCUUGCGGAUCUUUUCCUUAUUGCGUUACCAAAUAUCAACAUUGCUAACCCUUAGAAACCAAUCCUCCAUCCUUUGGUGGGGUUUGGCCAGGAUCGGAAGGUAUUCUUCCACAGAUCUAAGAAAAAGUUUUUGGCCCUAAAAGGAAUCCAAUUGGUUUCUGCAUUAAUCUAAUCGGUAGGAUCUGGGUCACCUAGCGGACCAAGGCAUUGGAGAUGGGGUUGUUCGGUGGGGAUAUCGAUUUUCUCGCUCAAUUCCUAAGAUUUGAGGGUAGAAAGGAUAAAAGAAGAAGAAAAAGCUAAGUAAGUAGACUUGCAAAAAGGUAAAGAAUUGCAGUAAAAGUGUAGGACGGAUUAACCUCAGGCACGAUGAAGUUGACGGCCAUUUCUUCUCGAAGUAGAAGAAAUAAAAAACUUGAGGAUUCUUGGGGGAGUUCUUGUUGGACGGGUUCGUGAGUUCUUCGUCAAAGCCGCCGCCGGAGGAUGAAUCUAGGGAUGGAGGAUGGCAAGGUGAAGAAAAAGUGCUGAGGAAGGAAGUAUUUAUAGGAUAAAGCGAGCAGGGGUAUUUCUGACUUAUCUCUUUGCCGUAUCCGUGAAAUUCGAGGGUGUUCAGGUGAAUAUGGUACCUGUUCGCACGAUAAUCAAGGGAUUGUGCAGGUGAUUUGACAGCGAGUAAUCAUGGUUUUAGGAGAUAUUUCACUGUGCAAGAUCUCCUGGUCGGCUCAUCGGCAGCCAACUCUAACAGAACAGUUGCCGAUAAGCGGGUGUUUAGGAGAUUUGAUUCGGGUGGUUGAGAAAUUCGAGGUGCGUGCUGGAAAUCCGGAUUAAGGUUGUUUGGAUUUGGCAAUUAAUUGCUGUUAGAAGGAAAUAAUUGUGAAAAGGGCGUCAUUAUUAGGAGAGAAUUUUGGAGCAUUAAUGAUUUUAUACUCCAAAAUUGGGGGCAUGUGUCGACACCGUUUUUGGACACGUAUCAGGAAGACAUGGGGACUCGGAGGAACGUGGCUAUAGCGCUCAUCGUGGUGGGCGUUACGAUAGCGAUGAAGACCGAAUGAUGCCAGAACCACCAGGCCCUCGAGUUUUCAGCAGGACAAUCCAUAGCACGCCGCUACCGAGCCCGUUCCGACCCCCGACCAGCAUCGCCAAAUACAAUGGUGAAACCAAGCCAGAACUGUGGCUGGCAGAUUUUCGGCUGGCAUGCCAGCUGGGAGGCGCUCGAGGGGACGAUCGAGCUAUCAUCUGCCAAUUGCCUCUCUUCCUCUCUGAUACUGCUGGCCAGUGGCUCGAGGAGCUCCCCACCAACUAGAUCCACGACUGGACUGAUUUGGUCUGGGUGUUUGAAGGAAACUUCAAGGGAACGUAUAUACGCCCCGACAACUCGUGGGACCUGAGCAAGUGCAAGCAAAGAUCAGGAGAAUCCCUCCGAGAGUACGCUCGACGCUUCCAGAAGCAGCGCACCGAGCUCCCGCACAUCCCCAACCACGACGUCAUUCUGGCCUUUGUCUCUGGCACCACAUGUAGAGAUUUGGUGUGAGAAUUAGGUCGAAAUCGACCGCAAACCGUCGACGAACUAAUGGACGUGGUGGCAAACUAUGUAGAUGGUGAAGAGGCGGUCGGCGCCUUCUUCAGCCACGAAAGCGGCAAGGGGAAAGCGCCAGUGGAUGACGAUGAGGGCCCUAGUAAAGGGUCCAAGAAGGGCAAGAAGAAGAAGAAAACAUGACCGAUCAAGCGGGAGGCUCUCGAUGAUGACUUCGUCACCGCAAUUGAGCGUAAAAAGCCACGAGGCCCUCCGGAGGGGGCCGUCUUUGACAAAAUGCUCAAUGAGCCCUGCCCUUAUCACAAGGGAGGGGCGAAUCACAAGCUCGAGGACUGUUGCAUGUUGAAAAAGUACUUCGACAGCCUGGGGCUGAAGAAGGACGACCAAAGGAAAGACAAGAGCAAUGAUAAGGGGGGAAGCAAAGAAGAUGAAGGUUUCCCUGCUGUCCACGACUGCUACAUGAUCUACGGCGGACCCUCGACGCAGCUCACCAUGAGACAGCGCAAGAGGGAGCGCCGCGAGGUCUUCGCAGCAAGAAUGGCAGUGCCCCAGUAUCUCAACUGGUCGAACACUCCCAUCACCUUCGACCGUGACGACCACCCCGACAGGGUGGUCGCUCCCGGCGUCUACCCACUUGUCGUCGACCCCAUCAUCAUCAACAGCAGACUCUUGAAGGUACUGAUGGAUGGCGGCAGCAGCCUAAACAUCAUUUACCUCGAGACCCUCGACCUUCUUGGCAUCGAGAGGGCGCAGCUCCAACCAAGCGCGGGUGGUUUCCAUGGCGUCGUGCCCGGAAAAAAGGCAUUGCCAGUGGGUCGAAUCGACCUACCGAUUUGUUUUGGCACAGCAGCCAACUUCAGGAAGGAAACCCUCACUUUCGAAGUGGUGAGAUUUCGCAGCACCUACCACGCCAUCAUCAGACGACCGGGAUACGCCAAGUUCAUGGCUAUUCCCAACUACACUUACCUGAAGCUUAAGAUGCCCGGGCCCAAAGAAGUCAUCACCGUCAGCUCCUCUUACGAGCACACAUACGAGUGUGACGUCGAGUGCAUCGAGUAUGGAGAAGCCAUCGAGAGCUCCACCAAACUCGUCUUGAAGCUCAAUGUCGAGGAUACCAGUAAGGGGUAUCCCAACUGAUGUACAUAAUGAGAUCGUCCGUACGAAAGUCGAGAUCCCCAACUCGACGCUCUACACAAUCACGCGUAUAAUCAUCGACGACCUCAGCCUCGAAGGAGGAAAGGGCGUCGAGCGAAUCAAGCAGGGCUCGAGCGCCAACUACCGUCGAAUACGGAAACGAGCUCGAGCGAAUCGGUGGGCAUCGAGCGCAAGGGCGCCGCCUGCCGCCUGACACGCGCACGGGAGCCAGAGCAUUUAAUGCGCCUAUCGCAUUCCCACCUAACACGCCAGUCACGGGAAGCGUGAUAGGGAAUAGGCAUCCGUCUCAUCAUUCUUUUUGCAGCCUUCCCCACCAAACGACCCAGAGCGUGUCAGGACGCAGGAAGCAGGGAUGGAACGUCUAGUCAGGACCCCCUCGAGAUGCCAAAAGUCAAUACUCUGGAUAGCAAGGCGCUAUAGGGCAUCCGACCCUCGACCGGACAUGUUUCCUUCCUGGAGAAGGGUUGGGCGUCGACUGAUGGCACUGCCACCACUCUGACGAACUAGCCGCCGUGCCGUACAGGCGUGCAACGGACAAACCGGUCCAAGAUGGCAUACAAAGCGGGAUAUAAGGGCACGCGUAAUCAUCAUCAAGCUACCGGGACGGGACGGCUCGAGACCACGCCGGUACGGAAGCCUCGAGUAGCUCAGCGCGCCAUGCCUCUAUCGACCCCUAGUCUGUCACCUAUAUAUGUACCCUAGGCUCUCCUUGGAACUAUAAAAGGGGGGCCCGGGAGUGAUCACAAAGAGAACACAACACCGCGCUCAUACGCAGUAGAAUUCCCACACUCCAUACCACGCUUGUAUUCGCCCCUGUACAAGCACUUAGGUGCGAAAUAAUACAAACUCUCCCCCCGCUGGACGUAGGGCCUUCUCUUGCCCGAACCAGGAUAAAUCCUUGUGUCUUUUUGCAUCACCAUCUGGGAAAGGGAAGCACGCAAACAAAUUCACUCGUUGGUGUGACCGUAGGGAAAACACCGACAGUUGGCGCGCCAGGUAGGGGUCCUGCGUGUUUUCUCAUCGAUUUCCCAUUCCAUUCCUAGAUGGCCACUCCUUCUUCACCGAUUCCGCGCUCCACGGUAAUUUGGUUUGUGAGUCUCGAGUUCGUGUCUACUGGCUCCGGCUAUGACAUGAUCUUGCUCUCAGUCACAGGACCGAGAGGAGCCCGCGUUGCACCAGCACGAACGAGGGCCCCGAGACGCCCUCGCCACCACGCCUCCCCGCCCAAGAAGAGGCGUGGACGACACCACCAUCGCCCUUCCACCUCGCCACGACUAGUAGUCCGUGCCAGGCAGGAAACGGUGCGAGAGCCGAUAGGCCCGCGCACCGUGGGCACGACGGCUCAAUGCCGCGAGGACCGCACGACGACAGGAGAAGACGCGCCCCGCGCACUCUCCCCCACCGCCCGACUACUUCCACACGGGCUGUUCGCCGCAAGAGGAGCCUUGCCUGUAACACCCCAGUGUUAUGGUUACAUCAAACAUGUGCAUAGCAUGAGCAUCAUCAUGUAUUCAAAGCAUCCAUGAUCAUCAUCUAUCUUGAGACAUGUCAUCCUUUGCAAAAAUGUGUUUUAAAUUGCUUAAAUAGGCUUCCUAUGCUUAUUUUUGAGUGAACAAUGUUUGUGUUUGUGCUUAAUGCCUUGGUAAAUAGUUUAUCUAUGCUUGACUUAAUCUUGGGAACAAUGUUCAUGUUGAUCACUUCUCCAAAAUAAUCACUUAAGUCUUACUUAUGCAAAUAGGCCCUAGAAACCUCUUUUGCUUAGGCUUUUAAAAAGUGUUUCAUAAAAUGUUUGCAUGUCAAAACUUCCUACAGCAAAGUUGUAGCAAAUUUUAUAAGGAACAAAAGUUGUUUUAUGGCCAUCUCAUGAAAAUGAUCACAAAUAGCUCAAAAGUGGCCCACAAGGCAGAUUUGGGGCUGUUUUCCACACUUAGAAAUUUUCUAAGUCCCCGGGUGGUUUGCAGUUUGCGUGAUCGAUUUUGGAAACUCUAUAUCUUUCAAUCCAGGCCGAUCUGGCCUUUGCUCUAGUUGACAAAGUUGUAGAUCUCGUCUAAUACUCCAAGUUUGUCAACUACGCCAUCUCCUAAUUCGCUCUGGUUUGGGAGAUAAUCACCGGUGAAGUCGCUCUGUCAGUCGGUCGAUGCACUGUCUGAAUCGACUUGGAUCUCGUCGACGUGGCCGACCGCCGGCAGCGCUCCGUCGCCAUUUGGCGCCCGUACGCCGUUCCUGGCCCCGCUUGUCAGCUCUCGUCGCGUGCAUGACCACCACGGCGUCGCCCCGAGCGCGUGGACGCGUCCAUUUCACUCUGCCUCGCCCUCUCUCGCCUGAACCUCGCCCGCAGCGAGCUCUCCGCCGCGAGCUCACUCCGGCGAGCUCGUGUGCGCUCCUCUCUGCGUCCCCGUCCACCAAACUCCACCCAAAGCUCCGUCGUGAGCCGCUCUCCAAGCUCCACCCUCUAACUCGCCGAGAGACCCACCGGUGAGCCGACAUUUCUUUCUUCCCCCAAAUCGGUCCGCCGUGACCCUCUCCUCCGGCGAACUCAAUGCCGAGCGCUGUGAGGCUUCUCAUCGUCCUUGGUUAGGUGCUAGAGGUAGCUUAGGUCCUUAGCGAGCUUUUGCGCCACCUGGUGGACGCUCUACCGGGUUCUCCGUCGCCGGACACGGUGCGCAGCGCCGCCGUGCUUCCGCCGGAGUUGGGUCCUCUCGUGGCCAGCACUUUCCACGGGGAUCCAGGCCAAGCCGUGUACCUAGGGAGCUUCGCCUUAGUCUGCUGGUGCUGUAGAAGGCCUUAGGUCACGCUCUACCGGCCUGAGGACUCCGGCGUAACGCCGAGCACCUCCGCCGAGCCGCCAUUGUCGACGGUGAGCUCCUUCCGGUGGCUCCGCCGUGGCAAAAGUAGGGUCAAUCGAGUCGUUAGGGUUUGGGGAUCACGUUGAUGCCCUGGGUUUGGCCGGAGACCUCGCCGUCGCGGAGAAAUCGCCGGCGAAGAUCGCCUCGGCCGUGUGGAAGAAGAGCCUGACGGGUGGGACCCCCUGUCAGCGACUCUCUCUUUCCCUCCUUUUCUUUUAUUCAAAAUCCUGAUUUUUGGCUUUCUUGCAAAAAUCAUAUCUCCUGUUUCUGAGAUCCAAAAAUUGUGAAACAAAUUUUGUGUUGUUUCUUGAGAUGGCUAGUAUUUAAUAAAAAUAUAAAAUGAAUCAUGUUUUCUGGGAAAUUAUUUAUUAAGGAUUUAAUCUUGUUAUUUAUGGAUAAAUGCAUAUCUCUGGUUAUACUGCUUAGUUUGCUUUGAAAAUUUUAUGGUAGUCUUUGCAUGGCAUUAGGGUGCUCUGAUAAAUAUUUCAUGAUUUUUGGAGCACGGCAGUGGUGAUAUGUAAUUUGUGUUUGAAAUAUGGCUUGUUUCUUUAAUUAAAUCACAUAAAAUAAUUGGUGCUUAUGCUGGUGCUCUAUUGUGGUGGUGAACUUGUUUAUGGUAUUCCUAAGAUGUAAAUAAUCUGAAAUCUGUUGUUUGACAUUAUAUAAGUCAUGUUUAUGAAUUUAUGAAAUAAAUGCCUUGAUACAUGUUAAAUGCAUAUCUUUAAUUUGGUAUGUGCAUUGGUCCUGAAAUUUUUAUGGUGGUGAUCUGAUGUUAUCCUUGUGCCUCUGUAAUUUUUGUAGAUUUUUCUGAGCACUUUAACUAAUAUCUUGUAAAUAUGCCUUAUCUAAAAUUAAUUAAUAAAUGCCUUGUUAAGUAAUUGUUUUGGGGUUUUCAACUGAUGAUCUGGUGACCUUGUAUUAUGUUUGUGCUCAUGAGUCAUAUGGUUGGCCUAGUUUAUGCUUUGAUCAUGUCAUUAAAUAAUUAACUAUAGGGUUAAAUGCUGUUUGGACAGCAAGUGAAUAAUUUAACUUUGCUUAAUGAUAAGUUGACUUUCUGUGAAACUUAUAUAAAACAAAGUUGUUCUAAACUUGCUGAACUAACUGUGGUUUAAAUUUGAGGUCAUUUGGUCAAGUAGUUUAAAAGUUAUAGCUGUUCCAAGUUGGGUUCCAGAAAUAGGGGUUCUCUGUUUUUCUGGAACAGGAUCUGGAACUUUGUUAAAAAGAUUAAUUUAAUGUUUGAAUCUUGCUGUCAUGUUUAAAGAUGAGUUGUAGACAAUUUCCUAAGCUUUCCAGAAUGUCCUCACUCAUGUUUGUUGGACCUGUCUAUCUAUACUUAUGAUUUAUUUACUGAGCAUACUUGUUUAUGUUGCUUGCUGCUUUAGUGCCAUGAUAGGUUUUGGGUUAUGUUAACUUGUUUAUUCAUGUGAGUUAGUAUAACUCUUGUUCCGUAAAUGAGUGUCCAGUGAGUUGCUUGUGUUGUUAAGCAUUCAUCUGUAGCAUGUGCAUUUUCUCAUUCAUCGAGCAUGCAAUAGGUGCACCGGACGUGGCAGUUUCCUUCGAGCUCCAAGCGAAUCCCGAAGGCCAGGAAGGCAGCCAGGAGGUGGAGGUCCAGCAAGCCGGACUCGAGGAGCCCGAAGAAGAAGUUGAGUGCCCAAGUCACGAGCCGGCAUCGUUCGUGAAAGGCAAGCCCCGGAGCAUUUUAAGCCUCCUCUAUUUUCGAAAGUUUACUUAAUACGUUAUAUCUAUUGAUGCAUUACGUAUAGGAGUUGUGAUGAAACUGUUGCUGCAUCCUACUCUAUCCUUGUCCAGAUAACUCACCCUCCCUGGUUGUAGAGUUAGGAUCGAGUAGCAGCUUAGUUAUGCUUUAACCGGUAGAAGUCGGGUGAUAUCCUGUCAUCCGCGCGAUAUAGGGUUGUGUCGGAUCACGAUGGACUAUAUGUGCUAUCGUGGAUGGAACCUGAUCAAAUUGACUUAAGCCGGGCGGAGUUUUGCGAGUGUGUAGUAACUCCGUCUGUGGCAGCUAAGGACCGAUCGUUGUACGUCCUCUUGUCAUGUUGAACGCAUGCCUAACACUUAGUUGGCCGGAUAACUCGUUCCGACCGCGAAGCCGAGUAGUAUGACUCAGGCCGGAAGACCGGCAAGUAUAAAGUGCGCACUACCGGAGGAAGUGCGGUGUGCGGGGGACCAUUGGCGUAAGCCCAAAGGCAGGUGAGUUAAAAUUCCUGACCUCCCUGGCAGAGUGGUAGCCCUGGGAGUGCGGCGCUGAUCGGAGCCGCGAUUCCUGAGUUGUACCAAAGGUAACCCGUUGGCUCUCCGGCAGGGGAUGCUUGGGUGAGUGCUAGGAGUAAACCUCCAGCUGGAUAGGAAUUCGAUUCGAAUCGCCGUCUCUCCCGGUUAGUGAGAACUUGACAGAGCAGCGGCAAACGUAGCAUUCACUAAUAAACUUGGUGCAUGAUAACAAUGAUAGCAAGAAGAACAUAUGAUGAAUUUUGAUAUGGUUACUAUUGUUUGUAAUAAUCAAGUGAUGUGUUGUAGUACAGGUGCUAAUCUAGUGGUAGGCUGUUGAUAAAUAAAUUGAUGCUCUUAAAAUGAUUUAGUUGUAAGUUAAGCUUUUGGCAAAAAGGUGAGUCAGUCAGCUCCACUUAAAAUUUAGCCUUGCAUGAUCCUUGGUGUCUUUUGUGUUUUUCUAGACGGGUAAGUCUAGCUGAGUACAUCCUCGUACUCAGGGUUUAUUCCCACCUGUUGCAGAUGAUAUCUUCUAUGACGGUUUCUGCAAGACCUGUCUCCAUCCCGCUGGGGAUGAGGACUAACCGUUGGGCACGGUUCUCUAAUCUUCUCAUCUAUGAUGCUUUUGGAAGGAUGACCUAGACUCUGGCAGUAACAAGCUUGUGAACUGAGUUUUAAACAAGUGUGUGUACUUAUUUUGCUUCCGCUACUUCGAACAUGUGUUGUAACAACUUAAUACUCCGAUGUGGUGCCGCUUCGACGGCAAUGAAUGACUAUGUAACAUUCGUUGUGUUUAUGUUGAACUAUUACGAUCUUGGUUUGUUGCGAGUUGGUUUGAAGUCCUUCGUGAUUUCGAUUGACUACCGGGAUUAUAUGGGCUCAAGUCUAGAAACUUGAUUGUUUGACGAUCGUUUCUGCACUUGAACUCUUAUAAUUUGGUCGGUUCUGUGACAUUGCCGUUCGGCCUGGAGAAUGCCGCAGCGUCGCUCGCCAGGGCAAUGUGCCCAAAUGCCUAAACGUACGUGGAGCGACCAAUGAUCCUCCCACGCGACCCUGAAGCACGACCACGGGCAUCCGAGCAACCAGACUUCUCGCAGGUACGAGGCCUCCGCCGCCUGGGCCCAGGACGCUACACGAUCACCUCCCUCAGGCAGUGGCUGCUGGAGGAAGGGCGCGGAUGUUUCUACGCCGCCGAGCCGGACUCCGGCUCGGAAUUUGACAGUUACGACCCUACUAGGGAGUGUUUCCAUGUCGACGGAGCGGUGGAAACCACCGACGAGACACAAGACGCCGUUGCGGGCGGGCGAGCCCCUGUAGCAAGAGAAGACCCCAGGACACCUGGGAAUGAUGGUCAGAUCGACCCACCUCCGCAAGAAGACAGAGCCGCGCAAAUUGCGCAACUACAAUAGCUCAAGGCAAAGCUUGACGAGGACCGUGAGCGCCUUGUCCUGCUUGAGCAGAUCCUCAAGCAGGACCUGCCUUACCCGCCCGGUGGAAGUGUCCGCAGACGAGCUCGAGAGGUGCACCGACAAAUCGUCGGAGACGCAGAGCCAGAGCAACCUGUCAGCCGUUUCCCUCGAGCAGGACAGAACGUUGUGGCGGCAACAAUACUGUUACGCAACAUGCCCGAGCCCUCGAACUCCCAGGCGCGGCGCAUCCGAGAUGAGGUACAAACCUUGCUCCAGGUGGCAGCGGUUCAGCAAGCAGAAAGCUCGGCCUCUCGACGUCGAGGAGUGGCCACUGAAAAGCGCGAUGAGCCAGCCCAAAAUGAAAGGGAGGUGUCCGUUCAUCAGCAGCCACCCCCUCGAGGAAGAAAGACCACGCUCAUUUUCCCCAUCGACAAUCAGCGUUGACACGACGCGUGACGCGACAUUGAAGAGAAUCGAUGCCGUCGGUACGGGGACGCGGAGGAGCGCGGUUACAGCGCCCAUUGCGGCGGGAGGUACGACAGCGAUGAGGACCGGAUGGCCCCGGAGCCACCAGGCCCACGGGUAUUCAGCAGGGCAAUCCACAGCACGCCGCUACCCAGCCCAUUCCAACCCCUGACCAGCAUCGCGAAGUACAACGGAGAGACCAAACCAGAGCUGUGGCUGGCAGACUUCAGGCUAGCCUGUCAGCUGGGAGGAGCUCGAGGAGACGAUCGAGCCAUCAUCAGACAGCUGCCGCUCUUCCUCUCCGACACCGCCCGCAGAUGGCUCGAAGAGCUUCCAGCCGAUCAGAUCCACGACUGGGUCGAUCUGGUUAGAGUUUUUGAGGGUAAUUUCAAAGGGACCUACAUACGACCUGGGAACUCAUGGGACCUCAGCAAGUGCAAGCAGAAGUCAGGAGAAACUCUUCGAGAGUACGCUCGACGCUUCUCGAAGCAACGCACCAAGCUGUCGCACAUCCCCGACCACGAUGUCAUCCUGGCCUUUGUCUCUGGUACCACCAGUCGAGACUUGGUGCGGGAAUUAGGCCGGAAUCACCCUCAGACCGUCGACGAGCUGAUGGAUGUGGUGGCAAACUACACGGCGGGAGAAGAAGCAGUCAGCGCUUUCUUCAGCUAUGAAGGAAGGAAAGGCAAGCAGCCCGCCGACGACGAUGAAGGUCCCAGUCGAGGGCCCAAGAAGAGCAAAAAGAAGAAGAAGAUCCGGCCAUUCCAAUGGGAAGACCUCGACGACGAUCUCGUCGCCGCCAUGGAACGCAAAAUGCCUCAAGGCCCCCCAGAUGGGGGCAUCUUCGAUAAGAUGCUAGAAGAGCCGUGCCCUUACCAUAAGGGAGGAGCCAACCACAAGCUCAAAGAUUGCCGUAUGCUGAAAAAGCAUUUCGAUGGUCUGGGGUUCAAGAAGGACGUACGCGACGACCGAAAGAAGGAGAAGGGCGGUGAUAAAGAGGACAACAAGGUCGACGAUGGUUUCCCUGCCGUCCAUGACUGCUACAUGAUCUACGGUGGACCCUCGACGUAGUUGACCACAAGACAGCGCAAGAGGGAACGUCGUGAGGUCUUCGCGGCAAGAAUGGCGGUGCCCCAGUACCUCAGCUGGUCGAGCACCCCCAUCACCUUCGAUCGAGAGGACCACCCAGACAAGGUAGUUGCCCCAGGCGUCUACCCACUCGUCGUCGACCCCAUCAUCGUCAACACCCGGCUUUCAAAGGUGCUGAUGGACGGCGGCAGCAGCCUCAACAUCAUCUACCUCGAGACCCUCGUCCUCCUCGGCAUCGACAGGGGGCGGCUCCAACCAAGCGCCGGUGGUUUCCACGGCGUCGUGCCAGGGAAGAAGGCGCUGCCGGUGGGUCGAAUCGACUUACCGGUCUGCUUUGGCACAGCGGCCAACUUUAGAAAUUAGACCCUCACCUUUGAGGUGGUUGGAUUCUGGGGCACGUACCACGCCAUCAUCGGGCACCCAGGCUACGCCAAAUUUAUGGCUAUACCCAACUACACCUACUUGAAGCUGAAGACGCCCGGACCCAAGGGCGUCAUCACCGUCAGCUCCUCCUUCGAGCAUGCAUACGAAUGUGACAUCGAGUGCGUCGAGUAUGGGGAGGCGGUCGAGAGUUCCACCGAGCUCGUCUCGAAGCUCGAGGCCCUGGCCGCUGAGGCUCCAGUGCCCAAGCGCCACGCGGGCAGCUUUGAGCUGGCGAAAGGAACCAAGAAGAUCCCGCUCGACCCCAACAACUCCGACAGCAAGGUGCUGACGAUCAGCGCCGACCUCGAUCCCAAAUAGGAAGCCGUGUUCGUCGACUUUCUCUGUGCGAACGCCGACAUGUUCGCAUGGAGUCCUUCGGACAUGCCUGGCAUACCGAGGGAAGUCGCCGAGCACUCCUUGGAAAUUCGAGAUGGUUCCAAGCCAGUGAAGCAGCGGUUGCGCCGAUUCGACGAAGAAAAGCGCAAGAUCAUUGGCGAGGAGAUCCAAAAGCUUUUGACGGCUGGAUUCAUCAAGGAGGUUCACCAUCCCGACUAGUUAGCAAACCCUAUACUAGUUAAGAAAAAGAAUGGGAAAAUGGGGAUGUGUGUCGAUUAUACAAGUUUAAAUAAAGCAUGUCCGAAAGUUCCUUUUCCUUUGCCUCGUAUCGAUCAAAUCGUUGAUUCUACUGCGGGAUGUGAAACCCUCUCUUUCCUUGAUGCAUAUUCCGGUUACCAUCAAAUAAAAAUGAAAGAGUCCGACCAGCUCGCGAUGUCUUUUAUUACACCUUUUGGGAUGUAUUGCUAUCCCGUUCGGGCUUCGAAACGUGGGAGCCACGUAUCAACGCUGCAUGCUCCACGUGUUUGGCAAGCACAUAGGGUCGACAGUCGAGGCCUAUGUCGACGACAUCGUCGUCAAGUCAAAGCGGUGGGGAGACCUGAUCCAGGACCUCGAGAUCGCUUUCAGCUGCUUACGUGCCAACCAGAUCAAGCUCAACCCCGAGAAGUGCGUUUUCGGCGUACCUCGAGGCAUGCUCCUUGGAUACAUCGUUUCCCAGCACGGCAUCGAGGCCAACCCCGAGAAGGUCUCGGCCAUCACAAGAAUGGGGCCGAUUCGAGACAUCAAGGGUGUGUAGAGAGUCACGGGAUGCUUAGCGGCACUGAGUCGUUUCAUCUCAAGGUUAGGAGAAAAGGCGUUGCCAUUGUAUCGGCUCCUGAAAAAAGUCGAGCGUUUCUCUUGGACCCCCAAGGCCGAGGAAGCCCUCGAAAACCUGAAGAAAACACUGACUUCAGCACCGGUCCUGGUCCCACCUCAACCUGCAGAACCACUGCUCCUUUACGUCGCCUCGACGACCCAGGUCGUCAGUGCAGCUGUGGUUGUCGAGAGGCAGGAGGAGGGGCAUGCGUUGCCAGUCCAGAGGCCGGUCUACUUCGUCAGCGAGGUGCUCUCGGAGACCAAGGCGUGUUACCCCCAAAUCCAGAAGCUGAUCUACGCCGUAAUCCUCGCCCGACGCAAGCUGCAGCACUACUUCCUCGGCCACCCUAUCACGGUGGUCUUGUCCUUCCCCCUGGCGAGAUAAUCCAAAGUAGGGAGGCCAUGGGAAGAAUAGCCAAAUGGUUGGUCGAGCUCAUGAGUGAGACUCUCACUUAUGCGCCUCGCAAGGCUAUUAAGUCACAAGCCUUGGUGGAUUUCGUCGCGGAGUGGACAGACUCCCAGCUUCCCCCGACUCAGGUUCAGUCGGAGCUAUGGACAAUGUAUUUUGGCGGGUCUCUCAUGAAGACGGGAGCUGGGGCCGGCCUGCUGUUCAUCUCACCCCUGGACGUUCAUAUGAGGUACGUCAUCAGGAUACAUUUUGCCGCGUCCAACAAUGUUGCAGAAUAUGAAGCUCUUAUUAACGGUCUGAAGAUCGCCAUCGAGCUUGGAGUUCGACGCCUCGACGUUCGAGGCGACUCCCAGCUCGUCAUCGACCAAGUAAUGAAAGCCUUGAACUGCUACGACCCGAAAAUGGAGGCGUACUGCAAGGAGGUCCGUCGACUCGAGGACAAGUUCCACGGCCUCGAGCUCGUCCACGUUGCCCGACGCUACAACGAGGCAGCCGACGAACUCGCCAAGAUCGCGUCGACUCGAGGCAUGAUCCCACCCGACGCGUUCUCAAGAGAUCUACAUAAGCCAUCCAUCGACUUGGGCUCGGGGGCUAGUGUCAAAGCCGCUCCAGCCCAGCAGGCCGACAACGUCGAAGCGCUACUAAUGGCGGCGGAAGUAAUGGAGGUGGAACAGCGGCCCGGUCGACCGUUUGACUGGCGCACGCCGUUCCUCGACUGCCUAAUCCGCUGCGAGUUGCCAGAAGAUCGAUCCGAGGCCCGCCGUAUCGCUUGACGAGCCAAGACAUAUGUAAUCUAUGGCGAGGACAAUGAGCUAUAUCGACGAAGCCUGACGGGGGUCUUGCAACAUUGCAUCACCGUGGAAGAAGGCCGAAAACUCCUCGAGGACCUACACUCGGGGGCUUGUGGCCACCAUGCUGCUCCACGGACCCUCGUAGGGAACGCCUUCCGACAAGGCUUCUACUGGCCAACGGCCGUAGCUGAUGCCAUCGAGCUCGUGCGCUCAUGCCAUGGGUGUCAGUUCUACGCCAAAGAGACGCAUCUGCCCGCCCACGCUCUUCAGAUGAUCCCCAUCACAUGGCCGUUUGCGGUGUGGGGGCUCGACUUAGUAGGGCCUUUACAAAAGGCAAAAGGGGGGUACACCCACUUGCUGGUGGCCAUUGACAAAUUCUCCAAAUGGAUCGAGGCUCGACCCAUCACCAACAUCCGCUCCGAGCAGGCUGUCCUUUUCUUCACCGACAUCAUCCACCGGUUUGUGAUUCCCAACGUCAUGAUCACCGACAAUGGCACUCAGUUCACUGGCAAAAAGUUCUUGAACUUCUGUGAUCAGCAUCAUAUCCGUGUGAACUGGUCUGCAGUGGCCCACCCUCGAACUAACGGCCAGGUCGAGCGUGCCAACGGCAUGAUUUUGCAAGGGCUCAAACCAAGGAUCUACAAUCGCUUGAAGAAAUUCGGCAAUAAAUGGGUCGAGGAACUUUCCUCGGUCCUAUGGAGCCUAAGGACAACGCCAAGCAGGGCCACGAAAUACACCCCAUUCUUCAUGGUCUAUGGCUCUGAGGCUGUGCUCCCAACGGACCUCGAGUAUGGAUCCCCUCGGCUCAAAGCGUACAACGAACAAUCAAAUAAGGAGACUCAAGAGAACGUGGUCGACCAACUCGAGGAGGCUCGAGACAUGGCCCUCCUCAACUCUGCCAGAUACCAGCAGAAACUUCGACGUUACCACGACAAACACGUGCGCAAGAGGGACCUAAACGUGGGUGACCUUGUCCUACGACGGCGGCAAAGCAAUCAAGGACGCCACAAGUUGACUCCACCUUGGGAGGGCCCAUACGUGGUGGCCGAGGUCUUGAAGCCAGGGACAUACAAGCUAGCGGACGAAAAGGGGGCGAUCUUCACCAACGCGUGGAACAUCGAACAACUACGUCGAUUCUACCCCUAGAAUUUCAAAAGCUUUAUGUUCCUGCGUACAUUCUGUACCAAGGCCUUGUAAAUGAAUAAAUGAAUAAAUAAAGCCUUUUCCUCGAGCGAUUUACCUUCUCACAAGUCUCAACCUUAGAAGGGAGUAUCAGCUAUGACCCAUCAUAGUCGACACCCCCUCGGGGGCUAGCAAGGGGAGUGAUUCCCCCCUAAGUGUCGAAAAAACCAAGUAAUCCUUUCGUUCCUAUCGGCAAUCUCAUACAGUUGAGUAGUAAAGGUACCUCGAGCCCCUUAAGGACCGAGAAACGACGAGCCUGAGAACUCCUAGCCCCCGGGCUAUGGAAACUCUACUCGUCUCCUCACCCUUAAGGUAAUUGAGACCGCCUCGAACAAAAGACCAAGUGAGAAAAACAAACAUAGGUGCAAAAAGGAAUAAAGGAGCUUCGAGAGGAAAGAUAGACAAACAUUUAACAAACCACUUAAAAACAUUGUAUUACUUAAAGACAAGUCAAGAGAGUACUAUACAAGGGGCCCAGGCACCCAAAGCAGGCUCGCAGGCCUUAGUCCGCAUCGCGGUCCUCACCGCCCUCGCCUGCGCCUGAGCUAGUCUCAGGGGGGAAGUACCUCGGGCUCAAAUAGCUUGGCCAACCUCUCCCCAGGAGCCUCCGUGUCGUCGAUCAAGGCGUGGAGCCUCUCCUCGUUCUCCACGUCGGUCUUGGAGAUGUCGGUAACAAAGCCAUGAGACACCACCUCCAUAUCAUAGGAAAAGCCCGAGCAAACAACCGCCAUUGCCCGCUUCACCCCGACAUGGAGAGCGUCACGCACCUAAUCUCUCAGCGUCGCGCCUAAGUAGCAUAGUUGAUCGACCAGCGCGUUGCCUCGAGCCUCCUCCUUCGACUCGUCCAUGGGCUCAACUUCCCAAGAGGUCAAGAGAUCGCUUAUCACCGUCCGCAGUCGACGGUUCAAAGCAACCUCCCCCUCGAGCUGGGCCUGGACGUUGCGAGCCUCGACUUGGGCGGCCAAGAGCUCGUCUUUAAGCCCUGUGAAUGCCAAUGCAAAAAACUUUAGAUAAAACCGAGCACACCUCAAAAAGAAAUCCGACAAUAGAAACGUACCACGGACACUCUCCUCUAGGGCCGUAUUCUCGCCAACUAAUUUGGUGUUGGCCCUCUCGAUCUCUCUGUUGGAGCGUGCCAGCUCAGUGUUGGCAACACGAAGAUCCUCGAUCACCUUACCAGCCUGAGCAAUGGCCCCAUUCUUCUCCAACAGUUCUCCCUUCAGAUGGUCGAUGUCGUUAGAGAGCCUGCGGGAUCGAGCCCGCUCCGCCUCGAGGUCUUCGAGGGCCUUCUUCUUGGCUUCCUCCACAACGCCCCUGGUGAUCUCGCCAUUCACAUGCUCCACCUUCAUCCUCUGGAAGGAUUCUCGAAGGGAGUCCAAGUUAGUCUUGAGGAGGCCUUUCUCCUUGUCCAGAUCAGCAACGACGUUCUUGUAGGACAGGACCUCCUCCCGGGCUUUGGACGCAGCCUCCUCGACCGUCAGAGCCCGCUCCCUCAGCAGCACGACCUCUUCGACAGCCUUCUUCGAGGCCUCUCGAGCCUCGGCCAGGGCAGCCUCCCUCUCCUUCUUCUCCUCCUCGAGCGCCAAGAGAUCUUUAUAGGCUUUGAGGAGUUUCUCCUGUGACUCCAGGAGUUGGUCUUUGAGGAGGGGGAGCUACUCCCAACCGCCCCUCGUGGCAUGAAUGAAGCUUGACUUGAUACGGGAGGUCUCUUUCAGGUCCUGUGAAUCGAUGAUCGAACAGUUAGAACCCAAAACCAACAAGUUCCCUAAAGAAUGAAAGACUAGGAGACUUACAAAGUAAGCUGGCCCAAGCUCAUUGUUUACAACGUCUGACAGGAGCCUCACCACGUGCUUCAUCUAGAGGCGGAGCUCCUCGACGUGCUCCCACUUCUCAGCCUCCUUUCGAUCGUACAGGAAGAUGUUGGGCUCAGACGGAUUAGUGGAAGCCCGGAUGCGGAUCCGACCGAGGCACCAGUUCUCCAUCUCUUGGUCAGCCCGUGCCUUGACGCCGCGAAUGAGGUUCUCGACGGUCUCGAGGGACCCCCAUGGCGCAGAAACAAGUCAAUGAGGGAGGGGAACCGCCCGUCAUCGUCCACCGUCUUCCAGGUGCCAUCUUUACUACCCGACGUCCUAGCCUCAUCCUCCUCGGCGGGAAUGCGGUCCUCUCACGCCCGACGCUCCCGGAGGAACCCUGGGGCGAUUCCGUCCAUGCCGUAGAUCGUCCUCCUGAUCUCGGACUCGGGGUCGACGGGGGUGCGCAUCAUGCAGGCAAGCGCCACCACACCGUCUACCCACCCCGACUCUGCCGGGAUCGCGGCGGGCGCCCCUGGACAUAGCCACGCUGGGGUUGGAGGGCCGAAAACUGGCAAACCCUCUUCCUAGUCUCUGGGAUCUUGCGGCGCCGGUGAUACUGGUUGGGGCGGACUGUGAGGAGGGGGCUCGAUUGGUCCUUCUUCUUGGCCCCCCUGCUGCUGCUGCCCCUGCUGCUCCUGCAGUUGCUGCCGCGUCUCCUUCCCACGCUCCUCCUCUUCUUUCUUCUUCUGCUCCUCGAUGGAGCGAAGCCCGGCAGGCCAGGGCGUCCGUCCCGUGACGAGAGAAGUUUGGGCCUCCUCGUCCAUAGGAUGGGCAUCCUUUGAGGUCCCGUGGCCACCAGAGCCAUCACUAAUGGUAAUGGGAUCCCCCUCGACCCCCGAUCGGGGAGGCUCGGGGGCUCCUUCCUGCCCUUGGGACCGGGGGCCCUCGGUUUGUUCUGGCGAUGACGGGGCAGGAUCACCCGCCGGGGGACGAGGUGGGGCGCUCUCGGUGCCGGUCGGCAGCUGAGGGUCGGAGGAACCUGUAAAACGAAAAACAAAGGUCAGCCACUAUAAUGACCGACAUAAGGACGACACGAAUCCCAUGAAUAAGCUGCUAACCUGAGUCCUUGGAAGCCGCUCCCACCUUGAGCCGUUUUGCCAUCGAAGGUUGGGCCUGCUCAAGUGUCCGCUUCAACCUGAGGAAAGAGGGACAGGCAUAAAGAAGACUGUUAUACGAGAAAACGUGAAGAAUCAGGAAAAUAAGAACCACAGCGUCGAAGGACUUACCCCACAGGGAGACGGCUCGCCUACCGGUACCUCGACCGAUGGGCCUCGAACCACCCCGCGCUAAGGCCCCAGACCCCUCGAGGGCAGGCGCUGGCCUUGGCCCAGUAACUCCCACCUGGCGGGCGCCGGGGCUGGCGCUCCUACGGCCGGACUCUCCCUUCUCGAAGGCCGCAGCGUGGCCGCGGGUCAGCGGCCUCGACGCCUGGAGCCUAACUUGACCACCCGCCUUUGGUGCAGGGGGAGGUUGGGGACGCGGGGUGACCUGACUGGUCGCGAGCGCAGGAGGGAUGUCGGCACGGGGACGGUGAGAUCCGCCCGGCCCCUCCUUUGGCGCUCCCAUCCGCGGGGCAUCGACGUCGCCUCGAGACGGAACCUCGAGGAUCCGGUCGAGGCGAGAUGCCAUCCCCUCGGAAUCGUCGCUGUCGUCAUCACGGUCCCCGCCAUCACCUUCACUGGGGGAUUCUUCUUCAGGCUCCCCCCUGUGCUUGGAUUUGGCUCGAUGCGCCUCUAGCACCUAACGAUCGAGAUUCUUCAUCCUUUUUCCUUUCUUCUCAGAGUCCUUGGCGGACUUCAGUUUCUCAGCGGACUGGCGCCGUUUGACACGGUCGGCCUCGUCCUCCUUUACCGGAGGCCUCGAGGACCGGACAUCAAUCCACCCCUACCAGAACAAAGAUAGGCUUUAAAAAAAGGGGAUCAAAAGAAAUCCAGAAUCAGAGCUGUGUACGAGAAAAGAGCAUACCAGAUCGAUCGAGCCCGCAUCAGGCCUCAUGGGUGAAAGGUCCUAAUAUGGCUAGAGGGGGGGUGAAUAGCCUAUUUAAAAAUUCUACAAACCCACUAGAGCAAGAGGUUAGUAAAUAACAAAGCGAAGCUUUUUGCUCUAGCUCUAAUGGGGUGUUUGCAAGCCACCUAUCCAACAAUUCUAGUUGAUAUAAUCACUAGGCACACAAGAGCUAUGUCACUACUUACACUAGAAAGCUACCUAAAGUUUCUAUACAAGUAAGUAAGCUACUCUAGUUUGCGGGAAUGUAAAAGAGAUGGUUUGAACUUUAUACCGCCGCGUAGGGGGGAUGAACCAAUCAAUAAUAUGAAGUCCAAUCACCGGGAGAAAUCCAAUGAACAAUCACAAUGGAGACACACAAUUUUUCUCCCGAGGUUCACGUGCUUGCCGGCACGCUACGUCCCCGUUGUGUCGACCAACACUUGGUGGUUCGGUGGCUAAGAGGUGUAGCACGAACCUCGUCCUCACUAGGACACCACAAGAACCUACCCACAAGUGAGGUAACUCAAUGACACGAGCAAUCCACUAGAGUUACCUUUCGGCUCUCCGCCGGGGAAGGUACAAGACCCCUCACAAUCACCGGGAGAUGGCCACGAACAAUCACCAACUCGUGCCAAUCCUCCUCCGCUGCUCCAAGCCGUCUAGGUGGCGGCAACCACCAAGAGUAACAAGAAAACCGCAGCUAGAACGAUCCCCAAGUGCCACUAGAUGCAAUCACUCAAGCAAAUGCACUUGGAAUCACUCCCAAUCUCACAAAGAUGUAUAAUCUAUGAAGGAGAUGAGUGGGAGGUGUUUGCUUAGGCUCACAAGGAUGUCAAGUAUACUAGAAUGCCAAGAGUGUAAGCCCCAAGCCGGCCAAACACGUAUUUAUAACCCCUCAAGCAAAUAGAGCCGUUGGCUCUUUCACUGGGCAAACUGCGGGGUCACCGGACGCUCUUAAAGGGGCACCGGACGCUCAACACCAGCGUCCGGUGCUCCAACGUCAGCCACGUGUCACGCUCGUGUCAGAAUCUAACGGUCACCUGCAGUGCACCGGACGCUGAGCAAGUGAGCACCGGACGGUCCGGUGCACACCGGACUCAUGCGCAGAGAGCUCCGCAAACUCGCAGGGUCACCGGACGCAAGCCACCGGACGCACCCUGAGCGUCCGGUGCUCACCGGACUCAUGCGCAGAGAGGUUUGCAAAACAUCCUCACACCGGACGCACACCACCGGACGCUCCAAGCUGCGUCCGGUGUCUAUCGUCCGGUGCCUAACCCUAACCGAGUCAGGCAGCCUGCACACCGGACGCUCAGACACAGCGUCCGGUGCCUCUGAGCCAGCGUCCGGUGAGUGUUCCUCAGCGAGAAACACUCCCGCGACUUCUCCAAUUUUCCCACCGGCGCAAUAGAAAGUAUGCACUUCAUUUUCUCAAAAGCGCCGAAUCCCGCCUCGCAAGCUCGGCGGGAGGGAGAGAGGAACCCAUCCCCUCUCUACUCUUGAAAACUCCACCUCCUUAUCAAAGUGUGCCAACACCACAACGUGUAAACCAACAUGUGCACGUGUGUUAGCAUUUUCACAAUCAUUUUCUUUGAAGGAGUUAAGUUAGCUCACUAGGUUCUAGAUGCAUGCACAUGAACAAUGACACCUAGUGGCACUUGAUAACCGCUUAGCCAAAGAAUUCCCCUCUUUAUAGUACGGCUAUCUAUCCUAAAUGUGAUCACACCCUCUAUGAUGUCUUGAUCACCAAAACCAAAACCCUAAGCAAUACCUUUGCCUUGAUCUCCAAAGGGUUUUGUUUUUCUCUUUCUUCUUUUCAAGUUGAGCACUUGAUCAUCUUGUGGUCAUCACCAUCAUCACCAUGAUCAUUACUUGCUCCAUCACUUGGCAUGUACCAACCUCAUUAAGUCUACACACACUUAGUAUAGAGGUUAGUACUAGGGUUUCAUCAAUUAUCCAAAACCAAACUAGGGCUUUCAAUCUCCCCCUUUUUGGUAAUUGAUGACAACCCUUUUUACAAAGAUUUUCAAUAAAAUUUUCUAGGAUUCAUGUUGCUUGCCCAAGCAUUUUACCAUGUGCAAAGGUUAUGGACAAGUUUCAUAAACCCAUAUUGGUAGCAAUUGCUCCCCCUACAUAUGUGCUAAGAGUUUGGAUUUGAGAGCUUGCACAUAUGCUUGAAUAGGAAAUAUAGGAGUCAAUUUCUACCAAAUGAUGCUAAGGUGUAAAGAAUGGACCUUUGAAGCGUGAUACCAAUCGGAGUUGCCAAUGUACACCAUCCUUAGCACCAUUAGUAACUUGACAUUCACAAAACUAGAACACCUCGUGAGAUCAACAUUAUAAACAAGGUUCUAGUACUACUUGUGAAGCAAAUAAAGGUCUAGUUACACUACCUAUGUAUGCUAGUUCUUCAUUUUAUCAAGCAAACCUAUAACUAGCAUACACCACACAAGCAAGGUAUCAGAGAGAAAGCUUCUAAAGCUAAAUGCAAAUGCAAGCAACCAUAUGUGAUGCACAUACAAAUGCAACAUACAAGUUUAUGAGCUUGCUCCCCCUACUUGUGUGCUUCAAAAUUUUAAUUGAUCCCCUUCUUUUAUCAUGUUACUCCCCUAUCUUAAAUCUUUGGGAAAUUUUCUCCCCCUUUGUCAUCAAAGACCACAAAAGGUGAGCUCAAAUUUGAGAAAGGUUAGUGUGAGACCAUGUGAAGUGAGACCAUUUUACCAAUUUUGUUCAAUCUAGAUUACUUGCCUAAGAUAUUUAACUCGGUUUGAUCCAAGGACAAGCUUCUUCACACCUCCAAAUAAGGGUUAUCUUGUACCAUGUUGAGUUAAACACUUAUAGCUCAUAUUCUAGAUCAAACUCUAGGAUUGCAAGCCAACAAACAUGUCAUAUGCUACCACUAGAUCAAGUCAAGCAAAAAGGCAAUAGUGGUACCAUACAAGCAUAAAAUUCAUUUGAUUUUCAUGAAUGAUCCUAAGACAUGUAAGGAAUGACUAAAUGCACUAAACAAGUCCUUAGCAAAGAUGGAUGACAUGUCAAUCAAUUUUACCUUGCUUUGCUCGAAGGAGAGGCAUGUUAUGUAAUGGGGGUGCAUCAACACAUAUUUGAGAAGUCAAGUAUGUUCAAUUCAUUCCUUAGCUUGCAAAACCUCUUCUCAUCAAGUGGCUUGGUGAAUAUGUCGGCAAGUUGAUCAUCGGUGCCUAUACUCUCAAUGCAAAUGUCCCCUUUUUGUUGAUGAUCUCUUAUGAAGUGAUGGCGGACAUCUAUGUGCUUUGUUCUUGAGUGUUGAACCGGAUUGUUGGUGAGCUUCACGGCACUUUCAUUGUCACAUAGCAAUGGCACUUGUUUGAAGUUGAUUCCAAAAUCCUUCAAUGUUGCCUUCAUCCAUAGAAUUUGUGCACAACAACUACCGGCCGCAAUGUACUCCGCUUCGGCGGUUGAUAGUGCAACACUAUUUUGCUUCUUGGAUGACCAUGAGACAAGUGAUCUUCCCAAUAGUUGACAUGUGCCCGAUGUGCUUCUUCUUUCAACUUUGCAUCCCGCAUAGUCCGAAUCGGAAUAUCCAACAAGUUCAAACUUUGCACCUUUGGGAUACCACAAACCAACAUUUUGUGUAUGCUUCAAGUACCUCAGUAUUCUCUUUGUUGCUUUCAAAUGACUUUCUCUUGGUGAGGCUUGGAAUCUUGCACACAUGCAUACACUAAACAUGACAUCCGGUCUUGAUGCGGUCACAUAAAGUAGGCUUCCAAUCAUAGAUCGAUACAACUUUUGAUCCACCAUAUUUCCACUUGUAUCACUAUCUAGGCUUCCAUUUGUUCCCAUUGGAGUGCUAAUUGAUUUUGCAUCAUCCAUACCAAACUUCUUGAGCAUGUCUUUUAUGUACUUGCCUUGACUCACAAAUGUGCCAUUCUUUAAUUGCUUGAUUUGAAGACCAAGGAAGUAACUAAGUUCUCCAAUCAUUGACAUCUCAAACUCAUUAGCCAUCAUGUUGCCAAACUCCUCACAAAAUUCUUGGUUGGUUGAUCCAAAUAUAAUAUCAUCAACAUAGAUUUGCAACACAAACAAGUCCUUGCCAAUCUUCUUGGUGAAGAGAGUGGUGUCAACCUUGCCCAUCUUGAAACCUUUAGAGAGUAAGAAAUCUCUCAAUCUCUCAUACCAUGCUCUAGGUGCUUGCUUCAAACCAUACAAUGCCUUUCUUAGCUUGUAAACAUGGUUGGGUUUCUUGUCAUCUUCAAAACCGGGAGGUUGCUCAACAUAUACUUCUUCAUUGAUAUAGCCAUUGAGAAAUGCACUUUUGACAUCCAUUUGGUAUAGCUUGAUGUUAUGAGCACAAGCAUAGGCCAACAAGAUCCUAAUUGCUUCCAAUCUUGCAACCGGGGCAUAUGUUUCACCAAAGUCAAGACCUUCAACUUGAGUAUAGCCUUGUGCUACCAAUCUUGCUUUGUUCCUUACAACUAUCCCAUCUUGAUCUUGUUUGUUGCGAAAGACCCAUCUAGUACCAAUGACAUUAUGAUCACUAGGCCUCUCAACUAAUUCCCAUACUUGAUUUCUCUUGAAGUUGUUAAGCUCUUCAUGCAUAGCAUUAACCCAAUCAACAUCUCUCAAUGCUUCAUCAAUCUUCUUUGGCUCAAUGUGAGAUACAAAGGAGAAAUGCUCGCAAAAUGAUGCUAAUCUUGAUCUAGUUUGCACUCCUCUUUGAAUAUCACCAAUGAUAUGAUCCAAUGGAUGAUUUCUUGCAAUGUUUGUUGGUUGGAGUAUUUGCACUUGAUUGCUUGCACUUGGUUGAUCAUGAGAUGAUGUACUAGCUUGUUGAUCUUGCACUUGUGUACCACUUGUACUAGCUUGAUUUUGAUCAUGUGAACCACAAGCUUGCACAUUAGAGGUAGGAAUCACUUGAUCUUUGUCAUCUUCAUCAAUCACCUCUCUAGGCCUUAAAUCACCAAUAUCCAUAUUUUUCAUUGCAUCGGCCAAUUGAGUGCCUCUCACAUCAUCUAGAUUUUCUUCUUCCUCUUGAGAGCCAUUGGUUUCAUCAAACUCAACAUCAUGCACCUCCUCAAGAGUACCACUAGCCAAAUUCCAAACUCUAUAAGCUUUGCUAGUAGUUGAGUAACCAAGCAAGAAUCCUUCAUCACAUUUCUUCUCAAAUUUACUCAAUCUAGUGCCUUUCUUCAAUAUGUAGCAUUUGCAACCAAAAACCCGAAAGUAUGCAAUGUUGGGCUUUCUUCCAUUCAAGAGCUCAUAUGGUGUCUUCUCCAUCAUUGGGUGACAAUAGAGUCGGUUGCUAUAGUAGCAAGCCGUGUUGAUUGCUUCGGCCCAAAAAGAAUGACUCACAUUGUAUUCACUCAACAUUGAUCUUGCCAUGUCAAUCAAGGUUCUAUUCUUCCUCUCAACAAGACCAUUUGAUUGUGGAGUGUACUUGGCCGAGAAUUGAUGCCUAAUGCCAAAUUCAUCACAAAGCUCAUCAACUCUAGUAUUCUUGAAUUCACUCCCAUUGUCACUUCUUACUUUCUUGAUGGUUGUUUCAAACUCAUUGUGUAUUCUCUUGACAAAUGAUUUGAAGGUUGCAAAAGCAUCACUCUUGUCACUAAGAAAGAAUACCCAUGUAUAUCUUGUGAAAUCAUCCACUAUCACAAAUCCAUAUUUAUUUCCACCAAUGCUUGUGUAUGUGGUUGGUCCAAUUAGAUCCAUGUGCAACAACUCAAAUGCCUUGCAUGUGCUCAUGAUGCUCUUCUUUGGAUGAGUGUUGCCUACUUGUUUUCCGGCUUGACAUGCACUACAAAGCUUGUCUUUCUCAAAUGUGACAUCUUUCAAGCCUCUAACAAGAUCAUGCUUGACUAAUUUGUUUAAUUGUUUCAUUCCAACAUGACCAAGCCUUCUAUGCCAUAACCAACCCAUGCUAGAUUUAGUGAGCAAGCAUGUUGAUAAUUGAGUUUCACUAGCAUUGAAAUCAACUAAGUAUAGAUUCUCAUAUCUAAAGCCUUUGAAUAUCAAGUUGGAGCCAUCUACACUUAUGAUCUCUACAUCAUCAACUCCAAAUAUGCAUUUGAAACCAAGAUCACAAAGUUGAGCUACAGAUAGCAAGUUGAAGUUCAAGCUCUCUACUAGUAGCACAUUGGAAAUGCUCAAGUCAUUGGAUAUAGCAAUUUUACCAAGCCCUUUGACCUUGCCUUUGCCAUUGUCACCAAAUGUGAUACUAUCAACACCAUGAUCAUCAUUUUGAUUGAUUGAAUUGAACAUUCUUGAAUCACCGGUCAUGUGUUGUGUGCACCCACUAUCAAGCACCCAAUGCCUUCCUCCGGCUUUAUAGUUUACCUACAAAACAAAUCAAUGUUUCUUAGGUACCCAUACUUGUUUGGGUCCUUGGAGGUUAGUGACUAAGCUUUUUGGUACCCAAAUGGCCUUCUUCUUUGGACCCACAAUUGGUGUACCAACAAACUUAGCAUGCACACCCUUCUCACCCUUGGUAAGCACAUAACAAGAAUCAAAAGGAAUGUAAGGUACAUUAGCAAUUUUCUUGUUCUUGUUAAUUUUGUUGCAAUUAAGCUCUAGGUGCCCAACUAGCUUGCAUUUGUUGCAAUACCGACCAUUGCUCUUCACAAAGCUAGGCUUGUGAGUUGCAAAGGCUUUCUUGCCCUUCUUGGGGGUAUAGCCUAAUCCCUCUUUGUUGAGAGAAAACCUUUGGCUACCCAAGCACUUUAGCAAGCGGGCCUCACCACCAUAGGCCUUGCCUAGGGCGUGAGUGAGCUCAUCCACCUCUCUCUUGAGAGUCUCAUUCUCAACCUUUAGCGAAGCAUCACAAGUGAUACCAACACUAGAAGUAGAGGUAGAGUUGGUGGUGGUGGAUGAAGGCCUACAUGAAGAGUUAGUGGCAACAACAAUAGGUAGGUUGGGUGAUUCUUUAAUUAAGUCACAUGUUGUGCCCACAUCACAUGAUACAACAACCUUUUCCUUGUUCUCUUCUAACAACAAGGUGUGAGCUUUCUCAAGCUUGGUGUGAGCCUUGCCAAGCUUCUCAUGGGCUUCCACUAGCCUCUCAUGAUUAGCAUUGAGCUCAUCAAAGGAUUGUUCAAGAGCUUUUAACUUCUUGGCCAAUUCUUUGCACUUCUUGUUUUUAGAUUGAAUGAGAGAAUCGGCUUGUUCUAACAUGUCCAUGAGUUGUUCAUUAGUGAAUUAAUUUUCAUCAUCACUAUCACUAUCAUGUUCAUGUUCACUUUCACUUUCACUCUCAUCAUAUUGUACCUUGUGGCCCUUGGCCAUGAAGCAUGAAGGAGUGUCGAAGAGUGAUGGCUUGUUGUUGAUAGCAAUGCUUGCAAGCGCCUUCUUCUUGGAUGACUUGUCAUCAUCACUAGAAUCAUCAUCCGAAGAAGCAUCACUAUCCCAUGUCACAACAUAGGAUCCACCCUUCUUCUUCUUCUUGAAGACCAUCUUCUUCUCUUUCUUUUCUUUCUUCUCUUUCUUGUUCUUCUUAUCAUGCUCAUCAUUGUCACUAUUGUAAGGACAAUCCGCCACAAUAUGAUCGGGGCUCUUACACUUAUAGCAUAGCCUCACAUGCUCCUUGUUCUUGAAGUGAUCUCUUCUCUUUCUUGUGUGAUAGCCCUUCUUCUUCAUCAUCUUGCCAAACUUGCGGACGAAGAGUGCUAGUGCUUCAUCAUCACUGUCAUCAUUGGAGCACUCCUCAUCACUUGAUUCUUCCUUCUUGGCCUUGCCCUUGUUCUUGCUCUUGGAUGAAGAGUUAGCUUUGAAUGCUACACUCCUUUUCUUCUUGUCAUCAUCAUCCUUCUUCAUGACCUCAUCAUCAUCAUUGUCAUUGUAUUGAUCUUCGGUCAUGACAUCUCCAAGUACCUCAUUUGGAGAUACACCGGUCAAUCCACCUCUAAAGAUGAUUGUUCUCAAUGUCUUGAACCUCUUGGGCAAGCACAUCAAGAACUUGUGAAUGAAGUCCUCAUCCUUCACUUUCUCACCAAGGCCCUUGAGAUCAUUGAUGAUGACUUGGAGCCUAUAGAACAUCUCCGGGAUUGACUCAUCAUCCUUCAUCUUGAAGUUUGAAAGCUUGUCCUUGAGCAUGUACAACUUGGCACUUUUUACCGUUGUAGUGCCCUCAUAUGUUUCUUCAAGCCUUGUCCACACUUCACUAGCCUUCUCAAGAUCUUUGACUUGCUCAAACACCUUUGAAUCAAUGCCAUUGUAUAUUGUGUUGAGAGCCAUAGUAUUGCAUUGCUUGUUUGCUCUCUCAUUGUCGGUGGGGUUAGCGGGGUCAAGGAUCACAAAAUCAUUCUCCGUGACUUCCCACACUCUAUCAUUGAUUGAUCCAAGGUACAUCUUCAUUUUUCUCUUCCAAUAGUCAAAGGAACUUGUGCCAUCAAAGAACGGUGGUUUGCCCCCAACAUGGUUGAACACUAUUUGAGCCAUAAUUUGAGCACCGAGGUUGUUAAGCCUUCACAAACGGUGACCACGGCUCUGAUACCACUUGAAAGGUCCUAAUAUGGCUAGAGGGGGGGUGAAUAGCCUAUUUAAAAAUUCUACAAACCCACUAGAGCAAGAGGUUAGUAAAUAACAAAGCGAAGCUUUUUGCUCUAGCUCUAAUGGGGUGUUUGCAAGCCACCUAUCCAACAAUUCUAGUUGAUAUAAUCACUAGGCACACAAGAGCUAUGUCACUACUUACACUAGAAAGCUACCUAAAGUUUCUAUACAAGUAAGUAAGCUACUCUAGUUUGCGGGAAUGUAAAAGAGAUGGUUUGAACUUUAUACCGCCGCGUAGGGGGGAUGAACCAAUCAAUAAUAUGAAGUCCAAUCACCGGGAGAAAUCCAAUGAACAAUCACAAUGGAGACACACAAUUUUUCUCCCGAGGUUCACGUGCUUGCCGGCACGCUACGUCCCCGUUGUGUCGACCAACACUUGGUGGUUCGGUGGCUAAGAGGUGUAGCACGAACCUCGUCCUCACUAGGACACCACAAGAACCUACCCACAAGUGAGGUAACUCAAUGACACGAGCAAUCCACUAGAGUUACCUUUCGGCUCUCCGCCGGGGAAGGUACAAGACCCCUCACAAUCACCGGGAGAUGGCCACGAACAAUCACCAACUCGUGCCAAUGCUCCUCCGCUGCUCCAAGCCGUCUAGGUGGCGGCAACCACCAAGAGUAACAAGAAAACCGCAGCUAGAACGAUCCCCAAGUGCCACUAGAUGCAAUCACUCAAGCAAAUGCACUUGGAAUCACUCCCAAUCUCACAAAGAUGUUUAAUCUAUGAAGGAGAUGAGUGGGAGGUGUUUGCUUAGUCUCACAAGGAUGUCAAGUAUGCUAGAAUGCCAAGAGAGUUAGCCCCAAGCCAGCCAAACACGUAUUUAUAACCCCUCAAGCAAAUAGAGCCGUUGGCUCUUUCACUGGGCAAACUGCGGGGUCACCGGACGCUCUUAAAGGGGCACCGGACGCUCAACACCAGCGUCCGGUGCUCCAACGUCAGCCACGUGUCACGCUCGUGUCAGAAUCUAACGGUCACCUGCAGUGCACCGGACGCUGAGCAAGUGAGCACCGGACGGUCCGGUGCACACCGGACUCAUGCGCAGAGAGCUCCGCAAACUCGCAGGGUCACCGGACGCAAGCCACCGGACGCACCCUGAGCGUCCGGUGCUCACCGGACUCAUGCGCAGAGAGGGUCGCAAAACGCCCGCACACCGGACGCACACCACCGGACGCUCAAGCCAGCGUCCGGUGUCUAUCGUCCGGUGCCUAACCCUAACCGAGUCAGGCAGCCUGCACACCGGACGCUCAGACACAGCGUCCGGUGCCUCUGAGCCAGCGUCCGGUGAGUGUUUUCUCAGCGAGAAACACUCCCGCGACUUCUCCAAUUUUCCCACCGGCGCAAUAGAAAGUAUGCACUUCAUUUUCUCAAAAGCGCCGAAUCCCGCCUCGCAAGCUCGGCGGGAGGGAGAGAGGAACCCAUCCCCUCUCUACUCUUGAAACUCCACCUCCUUAUCAAAGUGUGCCAACACCACAACGUGUGUACCAAACGAGCGUGCACGUGUGUUAGCAUUUUCACAAUCAUUUUCUUUGAAGGAGUUAAGUUAGCUCACUAGGUUCUAGAUGCAUGCACAUGAACAAUGACACCUAGUGGCACUUGAUAACCGCUUAGCCAAAGAAUUCCCCUCUUUAUAGUACGGCUAUCUAUCCUAAAUGUGAUCACACCCUCUAUGAUGUCUUGAUCACCAAAACCAAAACCCUAAGCAAUACCUUUGCCUUGAUCUCCAAAGGGUUUUGUUUUUCUCUUUCUUCUUUUCAAGUUGAGCACUUGAUCAUCUUGUGGUCAUCACCAUCAUCACCAUGAUCAUUACUUGCUCCAUCACUUGGCAUGUACCAACCUCAUUAAGUCUACACACACUUAGUAUAGAGGUUAGUACUAGGGUUUCAUCAAUUAUCCAAAACCAAACUAGGGCUUUCAAUGGGGAAGCCGUUAACAUGCUCCGGCUUAAAAUCACCGGCGAUGGCCGCCCUGACCCGGGCCGCGACCUCAUCGUCCGCCGGAGCCUCGUUAGACAUCCGACACGCCUCGAGGUCCCGGGAUGAGACGCCUGGGCCCAUCUCGUCCAUCCUCAGCAGACGAGACAUCAACGGGAGAACCCGUCGACGAUGGACGGCCGAGAGGACGAGAGCGGCGGACAGGCCCUCCAAGCGAAGCUUCUUCAAGGCGUCGAGGAGGGGGUCGAGCCAUGACUGAUGAGCUUGGACGACGCCGUAUGUCCAGUCCGCUGGACGCUCCGUGAUCAGGCGAUCGGUGUAAGCGGGUAGGAGAUCAUCGUCGUUCCGCAGAUAAAACCACUGGGAGUCCCAGCCGGCGUGGUUAGUCGACAAUCCCACUAGGAUGUACUCGCGCGGCCUCUCCGUCUUCCCCGUUUUCAGCACGAGGUUGAGGCAUCCCGCCCGCACAGGCUUCCUGACGCCGGUGGUCCCGGUGGGGGCGUUGAAGAGCUCGCCCCUAUAGAGGUGGAGCCACAACUCCUAGUAGGGUAUCAUCCCCACAUAGCCCUCACACACCGCGGCGAAGACCGCCGCGACGGUGAUGGCGUUUGGGGAGAAGUGCUGGAGCUCCACCCCAUAAUGGAAGCAGAGCGCCCGCAUGAAGCGGCUCGGAGGAGCGCCUAGGCCAUGGCGGUGGAACUUGGCGAACGACACCACGUAGCCCUUGGGCGGCUGGGGCUCCCUGUGGUCCGCUGGCGGCGCGAUCCACUCCGGCGACGACAGCGAGGUGCGGUGGCGCAGGAGGCCCUCCCUCUCAAGCUCUAGCAACCGGCGCUCCGUCAUCGACGAUGGGCGCCAGUCGUCGGCGGCGACGAGUCUCACAGGCAUCUUGGCCAGAAGGAUGGCGGGUUCGCUACUGCACGAGGGGGUGCGCGCGUGCGUAAGAUGGCAAGAGAACUCAGAUUGCAAGAGAGCAAAGGCAAAGAGGGCGGAAGGCGGAAGGAACAACGCCGGCGAUGCAACGGGAUAUUUAUAGGCCGCGGUCCACCAAUGGACAGAUCCGAUAAAAGAGGUAACCCCCCAUAAAUGCGCCGCCUAACGGUCCUUUUUCCUCCUCACAGACGGGGCGCUCUGAAUUCUACACCGGUAUAGUGCUGCAACGUCUCUCGCCUGAAAAGACGCGCCCAACGGGCAGAAAAGCGAAUUGCCACGACCUCUACCGUCCCUUGUAAGCCAAGGAACGCACCCACAAAAGCCCUCGAGAGGUCGUAGGCUGGCCCACCAGAAGGGUUCGACAGCCGAUCUCGAGUGCCAGAGUCAGGGAUGCCAGGCGAGUGGUCGAAAACCGAGGCCCGCCUCGAGAACUCGCUGGGGAUGUCCGAGGUAGGGUCGAGAGAGUCGAGAGGAAUCCCCCCGACGGGAGGCAUCGAGCCGCUGGACUCUAUCGAACGAGUCCAGUAUCCCCGACCACGUCGACACUGCUUUAUGAGAACGCCUCCGGGCUACAGCCGACCCCCUCGAAAGGGGCACGGGUUCUCACUUGGACUACUCGUUAGGAACUCAAUUUGGGGUGGAUGACGCUCGCUUUAUCGAGAGUAUGUCGAAACCCCCACGCAAAGCGAGCCGAUCAGAAUCUUCCACCAUUGGUGUUGACAGCGUGUCUGAAAAUUAGGCAACAUAACCCUUGGAGGAGUCACAAACUCCUCCAAGGGCUCGAGGGCUAUCCCCGCGGGGUCGCUCACGCGCCCCCACGGAAAUUCGACCACAAAACGAAGUCUCCACUUGAGCGCCAGCGCUCAAAUAGAGACUCGGGGGCUACUGUCGAGGAUACCAAUAAGGGGUAUCCCAACUGAUGUACAUAACGAGAUCGUCCGUACGAAAGUUGAGAUCCCCAACUCGACGCUCUACACAAUCACGCGUACAAUCAUCGACGACCUCAACCUCGAAGACGGAAAGGGCGUCGAGCGAAUCAAGCAGGGCUCGAGCGCCAACUACCGUCGAAUACAGAAAUGAGCUCGAGCGAAUCGGCGGGCAUCGAGCGCAAGGGCGCCGCCCGCCGCCUGACACGCGCACGGGAGCCAGAGCAUUUAAUGCGCCUGUCGCAUUCCCACCUAACACGCCAGUCACGGGAAGCGUGAUAGGGAACAGGCAUCCGUCUCGUCAUUCUUUUUGCAGCCUUCCCCACCAAACGACCCAGAGCGUGUCAGGACGCAGGAAGCAGGGAUGGAACGUCUAGUCAGGACCCCCUCGAGACGCCAAAAGUCAAUACUCUGGAUAGCAAGGCGCUACAGAGCGUCCGACCCUCGACCGGACAUGUUUCCUUCCUAGAGAAGGGUUGGGCAUCGACUGAUGGCACUGCCACCACUCUGACGAACCAGCCGCCGUGACGUACAGGCGUGCAACGGACAAACCGGUCCAAGAUGGCGUACAGAGCGGGAUAUAAGGGCACGCGUAAUCAUCAUCAAGCUACCGGGACGGGACGGCUCGAGACCAUGCCGGUACGGAAGCCUCGAGUAGGUCAGCGCGCCAUGCCUCUAUCGACCCCUAGUCUGUCACCUAUAUAUGUACCCUAGGUCUCUCCUUGGAACUAUAAAAGGGGGGCCCGGGAGUGAUCACAAAGAGAACACAACACCGCGCUCAUACGCAGUAGAAUUCCCACACUCCAUACCACGCUCGUAUUCGCCCCUGUACAAGCACUUAGGUGCGAAAUAAUACAAACUCUCCCCCUCGCUGGACGUAGGGCAUUCUCUUGCCCGAACCAGGAUAAAUCCUUGUGUCUUUUUGCAUCACCAUCUGGGAAAGGGAAGCACGCAAACAAAUUCACUCGUUGGUGUGACCCCCCGUAGGGAAAACACCGACACUCAAGGCCCUUGCCGUCGAGGCUUCAGAGCCCAAGCGUCAUGCGGGCAGCUUCGAACUAGCAGAGGGCACGAAGAAAAUCCUGCUCGACCCCAACAACUCCGACGAUAAGGUGCUGACGAUCAGUGUCAAUCUCGACCCCAAAUAGGAGGCCAUGCUCGUCGACUUUCUCCGUGCAAAUGCCGAUAUGUUUGCGUGGAGUCCUGCGGACAUGCCUGGCAUACCGAGGGAAGUCACCGAGCACUCCUUGGUGAUUCGAGCCGGUUCCAAGCCAGUGAAGCAACGCUUGCAUCGCUUCGACGAGGAGAAGCACAAGAUCAUUGGCAAGGAAAUCCACAAGCUUUUGACGGCCGGAUUCGUCAAGGAGGUUCAUCAUCCCGAUGUUGAUAUUUGGUAACGCAAUCAAAAAAUGAUCCGCAAGCGCACAGAUAUCGGUGAGCACUUCACCCGGGAUGUUAUCUAGAGUAUCGUAUUUAUAUUUUUACCACUAGGAGAAAGCGUGCAUCUGACUAACCUAGUCUAUUACUACUAACCUUUAGUCUACAAAGAAUGUGACUCGAUGUGAGUGAUGUAUAGAGAACACUACAACUACACUCUCGUUCUAACCUUGGCAAGGAUGAUCUACUGUUCUGUUGGGGAAGCUCACAAAAUCUAGACACCACAAAGGAUGUUCGACCCGCACCUAUAAACCCUAUCGAUCCUACUAACGGGAUAUGGGCUACAAAGGUAACUCGGAAAUGUCAUGUUCCUCGCUACUACCACGGUCCAGCUAGUCAGGGGAUAUCUAUGAGUAUCCUAGCCCAAACACCAUGUUUACGCUAGAGAUGAUUACCCUAAACUCUACGCGAAGAGAUCAAAGUAAACUCAUAAACCAAAGAAUAAUAAAACAAGAACUUACUUGAAUUUAGAAGUCGAAAUACUGAAGAAUCCUAGGAGCAAGCCUCGGGUUAGAAGACUUGAUCCCGCUGGUACAACCUCAAAGUAGACACCGACAGGCCGGGCUUCCUCCGAUCUACACCUCCAUUCUAUCUCUCUCAAUCUAGUAGAACUAGUCUACUCUCACAUUGGAUGCUAAGCCCUAAGUCUAUGUAGAGGAAAGGUUAUCGUUCGAGGGCACCUCUCAACUCUAUAAUGAACUUGUUCUCCUCUAAGGGCGAGGGGUUCUGCUUAUAUAGUCCCCUAAGGUGAACGUGGGCCGUCGGAUCAAACUGGCAUUGAUUGAACGGUUAUCCUUGAUCCUUUAGGUUGGUGGAGCAUAAUCCACGUGAUUCACCGUGAUUGGCUACAGGAGGUGGGCGGGCGCCCAGGAGGGUAGGGCGGACGCCCUGCCCCCGGGUCCGAUCGCCUUCCCGUUCGUUCCUGUGGCUUCUGGAGUCUUCUAGAUGAUAGAAAAUUGCGUGGUAUGUUAAUAUCUCUAUGUAAUCCUGACAUGUGGGCCUUUCAUCCUUAUUUCCUGAUAACCCCCUGCAGAAACAGAUAAACAACAAAACUCGUGGAAUUCUAUCAGAUCAAACCCUAAUUCUAGGUGUUGUUUGUGUAUUGGUCCUUUUCCUUGUUUAUUUGAUAAUUAAAAUUGAUACUUAAGAACCGUCAACAAACACCCCUAUACUUAGGCUUUUACUCGUCCUCGAGAAAAGGAUGGUUAACAAAAAUAUCUGGGGUUAAAACAUUGUAAAGCAUUCUCUUCAUACCUGCAGGGUGUUGUAAAAAUUCACUGUGUACCGUAGUCAGGGAAAUAUAUGGUCAAGAGUAGAGGUCCUUUCUUCCUAAUCCUGUCACUUGGAGUUUUUGUAUAUUUUUUAAAAGAAAUUUAGCAUACCUUUGUCCUCAUAGGUUCUCUUAGGUCACUCAUUAUCUUUUAUAUAUCUCACUGAGGCUGUUUUAAUUUGCAGAAAUUCUUCAAGCAUACUUACCUUGCAUUUAUUGCUUGAUCAAAACAGGAUCCGAGGAGAGGAAUGCCAUACUCUUAGAUCAAAGACCUUGGAAAUUAAAAACUUGUCAACUCUUAGUGGCAUAUUGCUUAUUAGAGGGACCAUGGGCUAUCGUUGUCUUUUUUCUCUCUUUUUUUAGGUGGAUACCGAGGUACCCCUAAUUCUACUGCAGGACAUUUGUCCAUUUUUUCUACGAGGUUGUCGAGCACUUGCUCCUUUUUAUCUCCUCGAAAUAUAUUUUUGCAUAGCCCAUGUCUCUAACGCAAUAAUACUUCGGAAGAGUGAAUCUUUAUGAAUAAAUGUCUUGAUCUUAGGAGCAUGAUAAAUCUCUCAACAAGGGUCUAACUCAUUUUGAACAAACUCUAUACAGAGUAGAUAGCUUUUAUAAUUAUCAUAUUAAUAUUUCCAGGUUUAUUAGGCAUAUAAAACACUGAGGAUGGUAGCUAGAAUUUUUAAAGAUUUUAAAAUAAAUUCUCCAAGCAACAUUGAUAUCAAGAAUAAGGUACUCAUACUCUACCAUCUUAUAUUCCACAGUGACUUAAGUAACACAGGGUUUUAAAUGAUUUUAUAAUAAUUGCAAGUUUUUAGGAAAUACCACAGAGUGAGAUUAAUCAUGAUUAGAAACAUUUUGUCCUUGUUAAUUUAUCAUGUAGGAGAUAAUAUUCUGCAUGAACCAAGAUAUACGUGUAUGUGUAAAAUGUGCAGAGUAUGUACCUGAAUCGUGGAGUGGUGUAGUCGAAGUGUGUUUGGCAUGUCGAGGGAUCUCCCCCAUACUUGUUUUCUGCUUUCUUGCAUAAAAAAUAAAGCAGAGACACACAAGACAUAAUAAUAAUAAUAAUAAUAAUAAUAAUAAUAAUAAUAAUAAUAAUAAUAAUAAUAAUAAUAAUAAUAAUAAUAAUAAUAAUAAUAAUAAUAAUAAUAAUAAUAAUAAUAAUAAUCUUGAGGCAUUUGUUACAACUGACUAGUAAUGAACGGAAGCUAAUAAUAGAUCUAAACCGAAUUUAAAGAUAAAUAACUAAGAUGUAGUGCCUCAAGAUCUAAUUUAGAUAACUUAGCGGCGCUCUAACUCCCUGAUCUUCUUAUUGGCACUAGCAAGAUCAUGCCUAAGACCUAGUAUAACGGUGUUCUGGUUAGAGAGCUACCUAGUGAUAGAGUUAACCGUGGACUGGAGCUCAAUGGUGACCCUGUCUAGCCUACGAACAUCCUCAUCAAUAUCUACUAUAGUCUUGAGACGCUUAGGGGGUGUCUCAAGAGCACUGAGAGCGUGCUUCGGGGCUGCCUUAGGAGGGAUGAAACGGACUUUGGCUGCUCUAAACCCCUCGAAGUAAUGCCUCUCCUCCUUCGUAGUGUAGCGGAUGCUGCUAAUCUCGCCACUCCAGUUGGUCUUGACUCCAACGACCCGCUCAUUGGGUCUGGGUGGCAGGAUCCUCAUGCCGGCUGGCACCUUGACGGUGGCCUCCUUCUUGGCUGACGGUCCCUUAAGAAGUAGGGGUUGCGGUGAUGCGGUGAGAACUGGUUGAGCAUCGUAGGAUUGGGCGGAGCUGUGCUGGCGUAAUGGCAUGGCUUCUAGCUGUCGCUCCGUGUUGGCCGGGACAAGAGCGUGGGCGUCGGGGUCUUCCUUGGGAUUCUUGUUGAGGUCGUAGGGGAUGACUUCCCAAUCGUCGUGGAACUCUUCGGCCAUUGGAGCAGCGAGGGACUAAGCAAGCUCUAAUAGAAGGAGAGAAGGCUUGAAUACAUUGCUGUUUGAAAACUGACGUCAGGGUUCUAUUUAUAUAGGGGUCAAAAAGUGCCUCUAGGGUUUGCUCGGGCUACUCCCGCCGCCGUGAGUGCGAAACUUUCCAUCUGUAUGAUUAUUUGGUUUACCAUAAAUGUGUUUAUUGCGAUGGAGGAAAUCGGAACUGAGAGGGGGCAGGAGCUAGGCGCCCGCCCUCAUCAUCAGGGUGCCCACCCUGUGCCUAGCCCCUCUGUGGGCCUGCUUCCUCGAGCGUGUUUCUAGAUGCAGACUUUAUUCGAAAAAUAUAUAUGUGGCCCAAAAACGUUAGAUUAAAAAGGUCGGGCUCUAAUUCUCCAUGGGAAGGUAGAAAUGGAUCACGUCUAUCUCUUCUAAUUCUUUAUUGGGCUCUAAAAAUAAUUUAAGACGUUGAAUAACGUACCUUCAUCAUUUUGAAGUGUGAUAGCUCCGUGGGAUGAAGAAUUGAUUACCUUGAAGGGUCCUUCCCAUUUACUCCGGAGUUUUCCAUGCCCGAAAAGCUUCACCCUGGAAUUAAAAAGUAAUACCUUAUCUCCGGGUGCGAACUCCUUCUUCUUGAUCCUCUUGUCAUUCCACCUCUUGACUCUUUCUUUAUAGAUCUUCGAAUUGUGAUAUGCUUUCUCUCGCCAUUCUUUCAAUUCUAAUAGUUGCAUUCUUCUAUGAUCUCUAGGGACAUCUAGGUCCAUAUUCCAUCUCCAUAUGGCCCAGUGUGCUUUGAAUUCUAGUUUAACAGGUAGGUGGCAAGUCUUCCCAUACACCAAUUGGUAUGGGGACAUUCCAAUUGGGGUAUUGUAUGCCGUCCGGUAUGCCCAGAGUGCAUUGGGUAACUUGUCUUUCCAUGUUGUUCCCAUCUCAUUGACUGUUUUCUGAAGAAUAUUCUUGAUUUGCUUGUUGGAAGUCUCUUCUUGGCCACUUGUCUGAGGAUGGUAGGGGGUAGCGACAUUGUGACGGAUUUUAUGUUUUGAUAGAUAUUGCUUGAAGCGUUUGUCGAUGAAGUGUGCUCCUCCAUCACUUAUCACUACUCUGGGGACUCCAAAUCUUGGAAAUAUAAUUUCUUCAAACAUCCUAUUUGAACUGAUGUUGUCAGCGUGCUUGCAAGGUAGUGCCUCUACCCACUUGGAGACAUAGUCAACUGCCACCAAGAUGAACUCACACUUCUUUGAUGGGGGAAAUGGACCCAUGUAGUCUAUUCCCCAGACAUCAAAGAGCUCAAUCUGAAGGUUGUUGGUGAGUGGCAUGGCAUCUCUUGUGUUUAUGUUUCCGUGUCUUUGGCAUGGCCCACAUCUUCUGAUAUAUUGCUUCGUGUCUUCAUACAUUGUAGGCCAGUAGAAUCCACACUGCCAGAUCUUUGAAUGUGUACGGAAUGCUCCAUAAUGACCUCCAUAUGGUGAUGAAUGACGCAUGUCGAUGAUCUUCCAUCCUUCCUCGGUGGUCACACAUAUCCUGAGUAAGCCAUCAGAGCAUACGUGGAAGAGGUAUGGCUCAUCCCAUAUAUGUGAACGACUUUCUUGAAUAAGCUUUUUCUUGUUCGAUCCUGGUGGUACAUACCAUGAAACCAUAAAAUUAACAAUAUCUACAUACCAGGGGUCAGACCUGUUAAUCCCGUAGAGCAUGUCGUCCCGGAGUGAAUCAUUGAUGGGGGUUUCCUGUGGAUUCUUAAAAUACAUUCUAGACAAGUGAUCAGCAACAAAAUUUUCUACUCCUUUUUUAUCUUUUAUUUCUAAGUCAAAUUCUUGAAGUAAUAAGAUCCAUCUAAUCAGGCGAGGUUUAGCACCUUUUUUAGUGAGCAGAUAUUUUAGUGCAGCAUGAUCAGUGUAAACAAUUAUUUUAGCUCCAACUAAAUAAGAUCUAAAUUUAUCAAUGGCAAAGACAACAGCCAGAAGCUCUUUUUUAGUGGUUGCAUAAUUAAGUUGAGCUCCUGUCAAAGUUUUACUGGCAUAAGAAAUUACAUGAUGCUUCUUAUUUUUAGUUUGUCCCAAAACUGCCCCCACAGCAUAAUCACUAGCAUCACACAUAAUUUCAAAAGGCAACGACCAAUCAGGGGGUUGAAUGAUUGGCGCAGAGAUGAGUGCAUUCUUUAAUAAAUUGAAAGAUGUUAGGCAUGCAUCAUCAAAUUUGAAAGGAGCAUCCUUGGCUAGCAAAAGAGUAAGUGGUCUAGCAAUGAAUGAAAAAUCUUUUAUGAAUCUACGAUAAAAACCAGCAUGGCCAAGAAAGCUUCGAAUUCCUUUUAUAUUCACAGGUGGAGGUAGUUGUUCAAUUACUUCAAUUUUAGCUUUGUCUACCUCAAUACCUCUUUCAGACACUACGUGUCCCAGCACUAUUCCUUCCCUAACCAUAAAAUGACAUUUUUCCCAAUUAAGAACUAAGUGCUUUUCUUCACAUCUUUGCAAAACCUUGUCUAAGUUUUCAAGACAACUAUCAAAACUUUUUCCAUAUACAGAGAAAUCAUCCAUGAAAACUUCCAUAAUCUCUUCAGUCAUAUCAGAAAAUAUAGGCAUCAUGCAUCUUUGAAAAGAAGCUGGUGCAUUACAUAACCCAAAAGACAUUCUACGGUAAGCAUAAGUUCCAUAUGGGCAUGUAAAAGUGGUUUUGCUUUGAUCAUCGGGAUGGAUUGGGAUCUGGUGAUACCCUGAAUAUCCAUCUAAGAAAUAGAAGAACGAAUGGUUCGCUAAUCGCUCUAGCAUCUCACCUAUGAAAGGUAAAGGAAAAUGAUCCUUUUUCGUGGCUUUAUUCAGUUUUCUAUAGUCUAUGCACAUCCGCCACCCUGUGACGGUGCAUUGCAGAAUUAGCUCGUUCUUUUCAUUCGUAACAAUAGUCAUGCCUCCCUUUUUAGGCACAACUUGCACUGGGCUUACCCACUCACUGUGCGGCACAGGAUAUAUAAUCCCUGGAUGCAGCAACUUUAUAACUUCCUUUUUAACUACCUCUCUCAUCGUGUUGUUUAGUCUACGUUGGGGCUCUCGAGAAGGUGAAACAGAAGGAUCUAUCGGAAUACGAUGGGUACAAAUCAUAGGACUGAUUCCUGUAAGAUCUUGGAGUGAGUAGCCAAAAACUGAGUGAUGUUUCUCAAGAAUGGUCAUCAAUCGCAGAGUUUGCUCCUGAGUGAGUUGAUCACUAAUGAUCACAGGAAACUCUGGAUUAUUGUUUAGGAAAGCAUAGGUAAGACCGGGUGGUAAAGUUUUAAGCUCUAUUGGAGGUCUAGGUGUUUCUACAAACUCGUCUAAGGGCUCAGGUUCAGAAGGUUCAGCUUCUUCUUCUAUGAAGAAAGGAGCUUCUUCUUCUAAGUCUGGUUCAUCUAAAAGCUCUAGAGAUGCAGCCUUUACCUCCUCCAUAGGAUCAGGCAAAAGAUAUGACUCGGCCUUAUUAUUUAAGAAGUGAGAAAUCGUUAUUGGAAAUUUAAAAUUUUUUCCAAAAGAAAUGUGUAGAUUUCCAGUAUGACCUUCAUAGAGGAGUCUUCGAAAAGGUUGUCCUAUCAAUAGGUCAAAGUCCCAUGUAUCAAAGAUAUAGAAGUUCAAAUGAACCAUGGAGCCUUCUACCAUAAGGGGUAGGACAUUAAUAAUUCCAAGACUGGGGACUAAUCGUCCCAAAGAUUCCUUUAUGACUUUUGUUGUGGGGGUUAAGACCAAAUUUUUAAAUAAUUUAAGUGCAAAAGAUUCAGACAUGAUGUUGAUCCCCACAACAGGAUUAUAGAGAGCAUCAAAUCGAUCAGAAUCAUAAGCACAGCGUAUAGUUAUAGGAGGUGUGUCCAAACGGAUCACAUCGGAGGAAAGCUCUGACUCCUCCAACCAUUCGCUGCUCAUGACUACGAUAAGCUCUCUCAAUUGAUGUUCAGUUGGCAAACAAAUGCUAAAAUGGCCGUUUUGGGGACUGUCUAUAGAAUGGUAGUUUGAAAUAUUCCCAAAAUCGGCAAAAAGAUCGGAUUCUAUAUCCAGAAUUAAUGUUGGCUCAUUAAUGUUAUCUUCGUCUCCAAUCUGAAUGUUCGGAAUUUCUCCUGGAUUGGUCUCACCUAUGUCAUCUUCUGUAGUUGGAUGAAUCUCAUCUUCAAAGGGAGUCAAGAACCCACCAUUUGAAAUUGAGCCAAAGUCAGAAUCCAUUAAGGCUUCUUCCUUAUCCAUCCAUUCUACACAUUCUAGCCAUUUAGAACUUGUGAUCAGGAAAGGGGAGGUGUUAGAAUUUUCUAUAUGGCUUAGCUCUCCUUCUAUGACAUUACUUGACAUGUCAUCCUCAUGGUCUUUAUGACUCCUAUGGUUUGAUCGUCUUGAUGGAUUGUUAGGAUCAUCAAGAGACUUAAAAGGAGAGGGAUAAGAGGGGUCUCUAAGGUCAAGGAUGGAUUUAGAAUUUGUGAACAUGGAAGGGGAGCAAAUAGAAUCUUCUAUGUGGUUUAGCUCUCAUUCACUUGAUAUGUCAUGUAACACCCCAGUGUUAUGGUUGCAUCAUUCACAUGCAUAACAUGAGCAUCAUCAUCUUUAUAAGCAUACCAUGAUCAUCAUUUACCUUGGGUCAUGUCAUUUUACACAAAAGUGUGACUUAAAUUGCCUAAAUAUGCUUUCUAUGCUUAUGUUUGCUUGUGUCAUGCUCAUGUUUGUAUGCUAUGCCUUGGUGAUUAGUUUAUCUAUGCUUAACUCAACUUUUGGAACAAUGUUCAUGUUGGUCACUUCUCCAAAUUAAGCACCUAAGUCAUACCUCCUUGUAUAUACCCUAGAAACCUCUUUUGCUUAGGCUUUUAAAAAGUGCUUUCUAAAAUGUUUGCAUGUCAAAACUUUCAACAGCAAAGUGGUAGAAAAUUUUAUAAGGAACAAAAGUUGUUUUAUGGCCAUCUCAUGAAAGUGAUCACAUCUAGCUAAAAAGUGAACCACAAGGCAGAUUUGGGGCUGUUUCCAACACUUAGAAAAUUUUCUAAGUCUGGGAUCACACCAGUUUGCUCGAGGGUCUUUUGUUUUGCUUCCAGUUUGAAAUCUAGGCCGAAUCAAGUCUUGAUCUUGUAAGCAAUGUUGGAGUCCUCAAGUAGCUCUACAGCAUGGAGCAAUUAGCCAGCAAAAUCAUUGAUCGGUUUAGGAGUUAAUCGAGGCCAAAGUUUGGGUUUCAGUCGGUCAUCGUUUUGUCUGAAUCGGAGCCGAGCUCGCCGUCGUGGCCGACCAGCGCAGCACCUGGCUGCCAUUUGUCGACCGUACACCGGCGUUGGCCCCACUCGUCAGGUCGUCGAUGCCGUCAUGGACGCCACGACACACCGCACUCACCCAGCGCUCGUCCAUUCUCUCCCUCCCUCUUUCGGGCGCGACUCCGAUGGCGGUAACGCCAUCGUCAUUGUCGCCGAGAGCUCCGCGAGCUUCACCCACGCGCGUCUUCGUGUCUCACCUCACCUCCGAGCGUCUCCAAGUCCACCUCGAGGUCCUCCAUCUUCCUCACCCCUUGGUUAGACGAGAUCUCCCCGAGGUGAGCUGCAUUUCACGAGUUUGUCGUCGUCGGGUUCACGGCCGUCGCGACCCCGAUUCCGGCGAACCUCGCCGCUACUCUGCCCUUGCCUUCCUUCUUCCAUUCGAGUCGCGUUAGGGCCUGUUUAGGUCUCGGUGGUGGUUUGUGCCACGCCAUUCCAGCCUUGGUGCCACCGUCGUGCGAGAACACGGCCGCCGCACCGCCGCGCUCACCGCCGACGAGCACCCCGCACGUGAGCAGACUCACCGGAGCCAUUAGGGUUAGGAAUUUCUACCUAGAAAGCUUCGCCGUAGUUCAGUGGUGCUUAAGCCGCUCUUCCCCGAUGCUCUACCGAUCGGAGAUGGCCGGCGUAAGCCGAGGUAGCUCCGUCGUGCCGCUAUGGCCGACGGCGACCCCUCUUCGUCGCUGUAACCCUAGUACCACCUACCUCCAUCGAUGCGGAAUCACUCUAGGAGCACGUAGGUGCCCUUGGAUCCGCCGGAGAAGCUCACCGUCGGUGAGCAUUCGCCGGCGAGGGUGUCCCCUGUCUCUGGGUCGCUGACGCGCGGGACCCGCUGUCAGUGACUCAACGGUCCCCUCCUCUCUUUUAUUUAAAUCCAGAUUUCUUGCAAUCUUGCAAAAAUCAUAUCUCCAGUUUCUGAGGAUAUUCCAUGAGAUGGCUAGAUUUUAAUAAAAAUAUAAUAUACACCAUGUUUUCUGGGAAAAAUAAUUGAUAUGAUUUAAUCUUGUUAUUUAAGUAUAAAUUCAUAUCUGUUGAUAUACUGCUCCUUUUGUUAUGAAAUUUUUAUACUAUGCUCUGAGUCGUAUGAGAAUGCUAUGAUAAAUAUUUCAUGAUUUUUUGAGUAAUGUAUCUCUGAUAUGUAAAUUAUGUUGAUCCUAUGGCUUGUUUUCAUAUUUAAAUCAUAAAAAAUGUUUUAUGCUUGUGUUGGUAUUCUACUUUGGUGUCAAGCUUGUUUAUGGUAAUUGUAACAUGUAAAUAAUCUGAAAUCUGUUGUUUGACACUAUCUAAGCCAUAUUUCUUAAUUUAUGAAAUAAGUACCUUGUCACAUGUUAAAUGUUUAUAGUAAGUUGGGCAUGUGCAAUUGUUCUGAAAAAGUAAUGUCAAGAUGCUAUGCUUGUGCUUCUGAAAUUUUUGUAGAUUUUUCUGAGCACUUUUGCUAGUAUCUUGUAAUUAUGUCCUUUUAUGGAAUUAAAUUAAAAAUACCUUGUUAUUAAAUGUUUAGUGGUAAACAUGUGAUGUUCUGGUAAUCUUAGGCCAUGCUUGUGCUUGUAAGCCAUCUGGUUGGCACUAAAUAUGCUUUGGCUAUGUCAUCAAAUAAUUAAUUAAGGGUUCUUAAGCUGUUCUGGACAGCAAGGGGAUAAUACAACCUUUGCUGGAGGAUAACUUGGUUUUCUGGAAGACUUGUCUAAACCAAAGUUGUUGUAAACUUUAUGAACUAGCUGUGGUUUAAAUUUGGGAUCAUUUGGUCCAGUAUUUUAAAAGUUAUGGCUUUUCCAAGUUGAGUUCCAGAAAUAUGUGUUCUCUGUUUUUCUGGACAGAACCUGGAACUUUGUUUAAAUUGACCUGUUUAACUUAUGAAUCUUGCUGUGAUGUCUAAAUAUGAAAUAUAAAAAAUUUCAUAAGCUUUCCAGAAUGUCCUCAUUCAUAUUUGUUGGAGCUGUAUAUCUCUAGUUAUGAUUUAUUUCUUGAGCUGCUCUGUUAUGUGAUGCUUGCUGUUAUGGUUUGACUUGUUAAGUCUUGCUAGGUUAGUUAGUUAUUUUGUGUAAGCUUGUUAUGAAAGUUACUCCGUAAAUGAGUGUCCAGUGAAGUUCUAAUUAUGUUGUCAAGCAUUCAUCCUCAUCUAGUAUGCACACAUUCUUAUUCAUCGUGCAUGCAAUAGGUGCACCAGAAACGACAGCUUCAUCCGAGCUCCAUCAAGCGAACCCCGAAGGCCAGGAGUUCAAUCCGGAAGCGGAGGUCCAGCCAGCCGGACACGAGGAGCCCGAAGAGGAGGUCGAGUGCCCCAAUCACGAGUCAGCUUCGUUCGUGAAAGGCAAGCCCCGGAGCAUCUUAAGCCUCCCACUCUAAUUUCAAAAGCAAUCUUGAUUAUGUUAUAUCUAUUGAUGCAUUACGUAUAGGAGUUGUGAUGAAACUCUUGCUGCAUUAUACCCUUUUCCUUGUCCAGAUAUCUAUCACUACCUGGUUGUAGAGUUAGGAUCGAGUAGCAGCUUAGCUAUGCUUUAAUCGGUAGAAGUCGGGUGAUGACCUGUCACCUACACGAAAUAGGGUUGUGUCGGAUCACGAUUGUCUAUAUGUGCUAUCGUGGAAAGAACCUAAUUAAAAUGAUUUAAGCCGGGCAGAGUUUUGCAAGGUUGUAGUAACCCCAUCUGUGGCAGCUAAGGACCGAUCGUUGUACGUCCUCUUGUCAUGUUGAACGCAUGCCUGACACUUAGUUGGCCGGAUAAUUCGUUCCGACCGCGAAGCCUAGUAGUAUGACUCAGGCCGGAAGACCGGCAAGUAUAAAGUGCGCACUACCAGAGGAAGUGCGGUGUGUGGGGGACCAUUGGCGUAAGUCCAAAGGCAGGUGAGUUAAAAGUCCUGACCUCCCUAGCAGAGUGGUAGCCCUGGGAGUGCGGCGCUGAUCGGAGCCGCGAUUCCUGAGUCGUACCAAAGGUGACCCGCUUGCUCUCCGACGGGGGAUGCUUGGGUGAGUGCUAGGAAUAACCCUCCAGCUGGAUAGGAAUCGAUUUGAAUUGCCGUCUCUCCCGGAUAGUGAGAACUUGACAGAGCAGCGGCAAACGUUACAUUCACUAAAAAUACAAUGGUUCGUGAUAAUGAUGAUAGCAAGGAAGAACAUAUGAUGAACUUGAUAUGGUUAUUAUUGUUUGUAAUAAUCAAGUUAAGUGUUUUAGUCUUGGUGCUAAUCUAGUGGUAGGCUAAUAAUGAUUAAUAUGACGCUUUUACAAUGAUGAAGUUUCACUUAAGCUUUUGGAAAAUGUUUAGUCAAGCCAGCUACAAUUUAUAUUAGCCAUGCAUGAUCCUUGGUGUCUUUUAUGUUUUACUAGACGGGUAAGUCUAGCUGAGUAUAUCCUCGUACUCAGGGUUUAUUUCCCACCUAUUGCAGAUGAUGUCUUUUAUGACGGCUUCUGCAAGACCUGUCUCCAUCCCGCUGGGGAUGAGGACUAAACCGUUGGGCACGGUUCUCUAACGACUUCGUACCUCGUUGCUUUUGAAUGAAUGGCAUGAGUCUCUGGCAGUAGCAAGAACUUGUGAAAUGAACGUGUGGUGUAAACUAUUUUUCUUCCGCUACUAUGAACUUAUGUUGAAAUGACUAAGUAACUCCGAUGUGGUGUCGCUUCGACAGCAAUGAUUGACUAUGUAACAUUCGCUGUGUUAUGUUGAACUAUUACGAUCUUGGUUUGUUGCAAGUUGGUUUGAAGUCCUUCGUGAUUUCAGUUGACUACCGGGAUUAUAUGGGCUCAAGUCUGGAAACUUGAUUGCUAGUUGAUCGUUUCUACACUUGAACUCUUAUAAUUUGAUCGGUUCUGUGACAGCUGGUAUCGGAGCAAGUUCAGCAUUAUAAAUGCAGCGUUUGUGUAUUUAAAAUCAAAAGAGUUUUUAAAUAAAACUGUGAAAAUCAAUACUUAAGUUAUGCCAGUGUUCAAAUCCUCCUUGCCCCUAUAAGGACUUUAGGUGGCUAAUUAAGUACUGACUUGGGGGGGUUUAUUUAUGCAUCUCCGGCAGUACUCAGGUAUGGAUGUGUGAUGACCGCACUAUGCUACCCUAUGGUCUAAUGGUAGAGGUAGCCUUCAUAUGUGAAUUAGCCGCAUAUGUCGCUAGAUUUAAAUUAUGCAACGUCGCACCUACGCUCUGGUAGGUGUGAGCUGUGAGAGCAUGGUCGUCCAAACGGCGGUCUAGGGGAGUGUUCGCAGUGGUUUUCUAGAGUGGUUACAUGUCAAACCAUGGAACCACGAAAGAAACUUAAUUGGAGAGCAUUUAAUUUCUCGGGUAGCUGUGGUGUCAUUGUUUGUGCAUGACGGGCAUGUAUAAGCAGUGUGCACUUAGUUUACUGCUUUCUUGAGUGAUAUAUUGCGAAUUGUUGGGCUGCAAUGAAGUUUUCUAUAGGUACUCUAACAACGUACGUGUAAAUCGAUAGUUAUCAUAUCGAGAGACGAAUGUAUGCCACCGUAUAUCCGUUAGAAUAUUAAUUUUCUAAGUUUGUGAGGACGUACGGUUCGUGCAUGCAUCAUGCCGCAUUCAUACAUACAUUCUUUCUACUCCUUCCCUUACAAUAUCGUCCCUUUUAAUUAAAUAAUGUUGCUCAAAUUAAUCAUCUCUUACCCAUGGUUAUUCCUAUUCCUUUCCACAGAUGGGCGUGCUCGCUUCACCUCGCCCCAGUGACACCUUUCUGAGCGAGUUUGGCAACCCUACUCUGCUCUGGAGGGUGCUACAGUCUGUGGGGUAUACUGAGCCACCUUAGUAUUCCUGGUGGGAGGUGGAUAUGACAGGAGAUUUGUAGUGGUUCGCUGUGCAGGGGGUUGUCCCACCACAUGGGGGCAGGCCUGCAUGGACUGGGUGGACCUACAACUCAGAUGGGCAGACUCUAUGGGAAGCAGCUCAGGUUGCCGCCCAUGCUAUGCUGCUCGACAUAUGUCAGAGGUUUGGUGAUGAGCUGACAGGAGGGCCAGCGGCCUCCAUUCCCCAGGCUGACCUAGCAGCAGCGGAGUGGAAGCAGGCUGAUUGAUGUGCGUUGGCCCGUGGUCAUGGAGAGCAAGCUUUGAGUUCCAGUCCUGCUAUGAGUGCUAUGAUGGUUGUGCUCAAGCUGUUCAGUCAGCGCGAGGACACCUAUGCACAGGUGAUGGUGGCUGUUUGCCAGGCUUAGGAGAUGCAACAGAAGGCUGAAAAGCAUGCUCGCAAGUUUCGCAAGCAAGCUAGACUCCUAGAGCAAGCCUAGAAGGACCGCAAUGACUGGGAAGACAUUGCGGAGUAUCGCAGGCAGCAGUGGGUGAAGGCCAUUAGAGAGAGAGAGAGAUCAUAAGCAGGACCAGAUGAGUUAGUUGGCUAGAGAGAAGGAGACCGUGCAAGAGCGCUUGGUGCAGAUCACUCGUGAGAGGGAUACUGCACUCAGUGUGUCGGAGAACAGGCACCGGGCUUGGGAGAUGCACCGGAUCUAGUCGCUUGAGCGGGAGAAGUAUCUGCAGGAUCAGAUUGAGGCUAGUCUUGUGGAGAUUCACCGUCUCAACAACCUGCUACACCCUAUUCCUCGCCCUGUACCAGUGUAUCCAGAGGUGGGACCUUAGGUGAUCGUAGCCGAUGAUGAUGGUAUGGAGGUAGAUCCGCGUCUGCACUACCUUUGCACGAGGACAUGGAGGACGAGGAGCUUGAGCCGGUUAGCGACGAGGAUGGAGAGGCGAUCUUCGACACUGACUCGGACGACGAUCCUGGAGUGUAGUGGGUAGUUGAUAGUUGUUAUGUGAGGAUCUUUUGUAGUAUGACUGUCAGCAGUUGUGCUUUUGUAAUCAUAUUGUAAUCCGGAACCUUGAUCUUUGACUUAUGACCUGUACUGUGAUGGUGUAAUAACUUCAUGGACCCGAUGUUGUUUAACUUUAUCAUGUUCGAUCGGUUGUGACGAUGUUUUCCGUUAUUGUGCAUAUUGCGGAUAUCUGUGUCAUGUGUUGGAUUGGUGAUGUUGUUUUGUAGAAUUGAAUUAUUGUGCCUUUUUCUGCAAAGUUAUUCUCUCGAAUACUUUCAGGCAUGAAUAUAAGUUCUUCUAUGGCAAAUCUUGUCAUCAUCAAUACUCACUGAAUGUGUCUUUAUAGAUGUCUCGUGGCACUCGAGGUGCGGAGCAGCGUGCGAACAUGAACCCACACCCUCCUCCUCCAUCCCCAAAUCCAGCUGAGCUGAUGCAAAUGAUGGUGGAAAAUCAGAGGCUGCUCACUGAAACCAUCAAUCAAAUGGCAAAUCAGGGUGGUCGGAAUGCACCAAAUGGGCCAGCACCUAACCAGUACAGUAGCUUCAAGGAUUUCAUGGAUACUAAGCCCCCAUCUUUCAGAGAGGCUGAAGAACCCCUUCAAGCUGAGGAGUGGCUGAACACAGUGGAGCAAAAGUUCCGCUUACUUCGGCUGACCGAUGGCUUGAAGGCUGAGUAUGCGGCACAUCAACUGCAGGGACCAGCAGGCAUUUGGUGGAAUCAGUAUCGGGAGGCUCUUCUGGACAAUACUGUGCUUGACUAGAAUCUCUUCCGUGAAGCUUUCAAAGGGCAUUUCAUACCUCCUGGUGUCAUUGAGAUGAAGCAUACUGAGUUCAUGCAGUUAACUUAGGGAAACAAAACUCUAAAGGAGUAUUUGCAUGCUUUCAAUCAUCUGUCAAGGUAUGCUCCUGAGUUUGUUAGCACUGAGACAAAAAAGAUUGCUAGCUUCAAGAGGGGUCUUGGCCCCAAGCUGCUGAAGAUGAUGGGCUGCACAAAGUGUGCAACUUUCAAUGAGUUUGUCAGUGAUGCUCUUACCCAAGAGAACUAUAACACUGUGUACACUGCGACCAAGACUCGCAAGAGGGCUUUUGAGGCCGGGGCAGGGGCAUCUCAGACCAAGGCUCGAGUGGUAGCUAAGCCCCAGUAUCGUGCUCCAACUCCCAACCAGCGGUAUCGCCCUCCCGCAAAGAAGAAUCAGGCGAAGACGGGGUUCCGCAAGGGGUACUCUAUUGCUCUUCCUAGGGGCAACACGGGUCCCAGCUAUGCCAAGACUCCACCGGCCAACCGUCCGUGCUGGAACUGCAAUCAGACCGGGCAUUGGCAAAGCAACUGUCCUUACCCGCCAAAGAAGGGCAACCAAGGGAACGUCUGCCAGGGGUGUGUUCACUAUACAACUGUGGAGGGAAUCCCUGCUGGUGAGGUAGUUACGGCUAGUAAGUUUCUGGUUAACCAAUGUGAUGCACUUGUGCUUUUUGAUUCAGAAGCAUCGCAUUCUUUUGUGAGUUCAGACUUUGUGUCUAAGCAUAAUCUCAAGGCAAUUACGCUUGAUAAAGGCAGUUAUUGCAUUAGUGCUGCUGGAAAUGAUAUUUCUACCAAUCAAGUGGUUUUGGGGGCAACUCUGGAAAUAGGAGACCGUCAGUUUCUUGCUGAUCUGGUUGUUCUACCCGGUGUGGGUAUAGAUGUAAUUCUGGGUAUGAAAUGGAUGAGUGGCAAUAGAGUUCUUAUCGACACCACCACUCAGGUAGUGAUGUUGAGAGACCCGAAUACCAAAGAGGCAUUCUUAGUGCAACUCCCUCAGGAUAUUCAUAUCCGUAGCACGAUGAAUGCAGUUACUUCUAGGGCCAUCAUGGAUAUUUCGGUGGUGUGUGAGUUCUCGGAUGUAUUCCCUGAUGAUUUGCCCGGGCUUCCCCCAGAUCGGGAUGUGGAGUUCAAAAUUGAAUUGAUUCCAGGUACUGCUCCUAUCUCUAGAAAACCAUAUAGAAUGCUGCCAAAUGAGCUAGCUGAGCUUAAGACCCAGUUGAAUGAGUUGUUAAAGAAGGGUCUUAUCCGUCCUAGUUCUUCUCCUUGGGGUUGUCCGGCUAUCUUUGUGAAGAAGAAGGAUCAAUCCUUACGCAUGUGUGUGGACUACCGUCCUCUGAAUGCGGUGACCAUCAAGAAUAAGUACCCUCUUCCUCGCAUUGAUAUCCUGUUUGAUCAGUUGUCUAAAGCUAAGGUAUUCUCCAAGAUUGAUUUGCGAUCUGGGUAUCAUCAGAUCAAGAUCCGUCCUGAAGAUGUGCCUAAGACAGCUUUCUCGACGAGGUAUGGGUUGUAUGAGUAUCUCGUCAUGUCCUUCGGUCUUACGAAUGCACUUGCUCACUUCAUGUAUCUCAUGAAUUCGGUGUUCAUACCCGAAUUGGACUAGUUUGUGGUGGUCUUCAUUGAUGAUAUUUUGGUAUAUUCUUGCAAUGAAGAAGAGCAUGCAGAGCAUCUGUGUGUAGUGUUGUCGCGCUUGGGUGAGCAUCAGCUUUAUGCUAAGUUCAGCAAAUGCGAGUUUUGGCUAAAGAAAGUGCCUUUCUUGGGCCAUGUCUUAUCGGAAGAAGGUAUAUCGGUAGAUUCGGCUAAGGUGCAAGAAGUGUUGGAUUGGAAGGUUCCAACUUCGGUGCACGAGGUUCGGAGUUUUCUAGGUCUGGCUGGGUAUUACCGUCGUUUCAUUCUGGAAUUCUCGAAAAUAUCCAAGCCUAUGACUCGCCUACUUCAAAAGGAUGAGAAGUUUGUGUGGACGCUCGAGUGUGAAGAGGCAUUCCAGAAGUUGAGGACACUGCUGACAUCAGCUCCUGUCCUAGCUCAACCCGAUAUCGAGAAGCCUUUCGAUGUCUUUUGUGACGCGUCUGGUAUCGGCUUGGGCUGUGUGUUGAUGCAAGAAGGUCGUGUUAUCGCAUAUGCCUCGCGCCAACUUCGGAAGCAUGAGGUCAAUUACCCUACUCAUGACAUAGAAUUGGCUGCAGUUGUCCAUGCUUUGAAAAUCUGGAGGCACUACUUGCUGGGUAAUCUGUGUAAUAUCUACACUGAUCAUAAGAGUCUCCAGUACAUCUUCACUCAACCUGAAUUGAACAUGCGACAGCGAAGGUGGCUUGAGUUGAUUAAAGAUUAUAAUCUUCAAGUGCACUACCAUCCGGGCAAGGCAAACGUGGUUGCGGAUGCCUUGAGUCGGAAAGUGCACUGUCAAUCAGUUCAGAUGGAAGAUCCAUCGUUGUCACGUCUUAUGCACCCACUUGUGCUCAACCAGAUUGCUCUGGAGAGUUCCCUUCGCAACGAGUCAUUGAAUUGCAGCAAACGGAUGUAGGCAUCUACCACAUAAAGAGGAAAAUGAAAGAAGAAGAAACCAAGCAUUUCCGUGUCGACGAGAACGGGAUCCUAUGGUUCAAAGAUCGACUUGUGGUCCCAAAAGACCGUGAGCUGCGAAAUCAGAUCUUAUCUGAAGCUCAUUCAUCCAAGUUAUCUAUCCAUCCUGGUAGUAGUAAGAUGUAUCAGGAUUUGAAACCUCUGUUUUGGUGGACAAAGAUGAAGAAGGAGAUUGCUGCUUUUGUCACUCGUUGUGAUAACUGUUGUCGUGUGAAGGCCGUUCACAUGAAAGCAGGCUUACUUCAACCCUUGUCAAUUCCUGGAUGGAAAUGGGAAGAAGUUAGUAUGGAUUUUAUCUCUAGACUCCCAACUUCUAUCAAGGGUUAUGACUCUAUCUGGGUGAUUGUAGACCGCUUGACCAAGGUUGCUCGUUUCAUUCCAGUUCGAACUGACUAUCGUCCACAUCAGUAUGCAGAGUUGUACUUCGAGCAUAUUGUCUUUCAGUAUGGUGUGCCUCGAACUAUCAUAUCAGAUCGUGGACCACAGUUCACUGCCCGUUUUUAGGAGUGUCUUCAUGAGCAGAUUGGUACUCACUUAGUUCGUAGUUCUGCAUAUCAUCCCCAAACGGCCGGCCAAACUGAGCGUGUUAACCAAAUCCUAGAAGACAUGUUGAGGGCAUGUGCUCUCUCUUCGAAGGGUUCAUGGGUAUAGUGGUUACCAUUAGCUGAGAUCUCUUAUAACAAUAGUUACCAAGAGAGCAUCAAGAUGGCUCCAUUUGAAGCCCUGUAUGGUCGAAAGUGUCGAACCCCGUUGAAUUGGGUGGAAUCCGGGGAGCGAAGGUAUUAUGGCAUCGAUUUCGUGAACAAAGCGGAGCAGCAAGUCCGUACCAUCCAGCAACAUCUGGAAGCUGCUCAAGCUCAUCAGAAAAGUUAUGCUGAUAAGAGAAGGAAGCCGAUUGAGUUUGCAGGCGGUGACCAUGUGUAUAUCAAGGUGUCUUCGAUGAAAGGUGUCCAAAGGUUUAGAGUCAAGCGAAAGCUUGCACCUCAUUAUGUGGGGCCUUAUCGGAUUCUCGAGAGAAAAGGGAACGUAGCGUACAAAGUUCAACUACCGGUUGAGCUUCGGGCUAUUUUUCCUAUCUUUCACGUAUCACAAUUGAAGAAAUGCCUUCGUGUUCCAGAAGAACGAGUGGAAACUCGGGAUAUCAAGUUGAAGUCUGACUUGGUGUAUGAGGAGAAACCUAUAGCGGUUGUUGACCGCAAGGAACGGGUAACUCGUAAUCGUGUGGUUAAGUUCUACAAGGUGUUGUGGAGUAACCACGGGGAGGAAGAUGCCACUUGGGAAACAGAGGACUAUUUAAAAGAAGUUUAUAAAGCUUUCUUCGAAAAUCAGUAAGCUUCCAAAUCUUGAGACGAGAUUUUUGUAAGGGGGAGGGCUGUAACACCCUAGUGUUAUGGUUGCAUCAUUCACAUGCAUAACAUGAGCAUCAUCAUCUUUAUAAGCAUACCAUGAUCAUCAUUUACCUUGGGUCAUGUCAUUUUAUGCAAAAGUGUGACUUAAAUUGCCUAAAUAUGCUUUCUAUGCUUAUGUUUGCUUGUGUCAUGCUCAUGUUUGUAUGCUAUGCCUUGGUGAUUAGUUUAUCUAUGCUUAACUCAACUUUUGGAACAAUGUUCAUGUUGAUCACUUCUCCAAAUUAAGCACCUAAGUCAUACCUCCUUGUAUAUGCCCUAGAAACCUCUUUUGCUUAGGCUUUUAAAAAGUGCUUUAUAAAAUGUUUGCAUUUUAAACCUUUCUAAGGAACAAAAGUUGUAGCAAAUUUUAUAAGUAACAAAAGUUGUUUUAUGGCCAUCUCAUGAAAAUGAUCACAUCUAGCUCAAAAGUGAACCACAAGGCAGAUUUGGGGCUGUUUCCAACACUUAGAAAAUUUUCUAAGUCUGGGAUCACACCAGUUUGCUCGAGGGUGUUUUGUUUAGCUUCCAGUUUGAAAUCUAGGCCGAAUCAAGUCUUGAUCUUGUAAGCAAUGUUGGAGUCCUCAUGUAUCUCUACAGCAUAGAGCAAUUAGCCAGCAAAAUCAUCGAUCGGUUUAGGAGUUAAUCGAGGCCAAAGUUUGGGUUUCAAUCAGUCAUCGUUUUGUCUGAAUCGGAGCCGAGCUCUCCGUCGUGGCCGACCAGUGCAGCACCUGGCUGCCAUUUGUCAACCGUACGCUGUUGACGGUCCUUAAGUAUCAAAUUUAAUUAUCAAAUAAACAAAGAAAAGGAUCCAAAUGAAAUCAACAUCUAGACUUAGGGUUUUAUCUGACAGAAUUCCACGAGUUUUGGUGUUUGUCUAUUUCUGUAGGGGGUUAUCAGGAAAUACGGAAGAAAGGCCCACACGUCGGGAUUACAUAGAGAUAUUAACGUGCCGCGCAAUUAUCUUACAUCUAGAAGACUCCAGAAGCCACGAGACCGAAGCGGAGGCGAAACGGGGCCUGACCCUGGGCGCCCGCCUAGGUGAUCAGGGCGCCCGCCCACCUCCUGAGUCCAAUCAGGACUCUGCUUCGCGGGAGAUCUCCACCGACCUAAAGGAUGAAUCUAAACCAUACAAUCUAAGUCGGUUUGAUCCAACGGCCCAUAUUCACUUGAAGGGACUAUAAAACCAUACCCCCUGGCCCCUGGAGGAGAGAGCCUCUCAACCCUAAUUCAUUGUGCUUCAAGGGAGAAGAAGCCUCUGAUCAAGAUUAGAGCCACCACAUCAAUUAGAUAUCUAGAUUAGCAUAGCUACAUAGGUUUAGAACUAGAAGGAGUCAAUCUUCGAUUGGUUUCCGGAUCUGUCAAGAGGAUUCUUGGUAAUUCUCUAAUUGUGCUUCUAAUUACUUUCUAAUUAUCUUUGUUCUUCAAUAUUAUGAAUAUGACUUUGUUCUAUUUCAAUAUAUUGCUUAUGACUUUGCUCUACUUGCUUAUAUUCAAGAUUAUAUUGUUCUUAGUUUAUCAUAGUUAUGUACUUGGCUUAGUUAGAUUGGAUCUAUAUACAUGCUUAGGAUCGUAUAGCGUUUAUCCAUCGGAUCCAUGGGUAAAUGAUAGAUAUUGUGUAGGCGUGGUGCUUAUACCGUAUUUAUCUGCGAUUGUACCCAAUAUGCCAGAUCGUGGGGUAGUUCGUGAUAGUGACAGCUUCAUUGAUUCUUAUAUAGUCCCCCUCUCGUGUAUUGGGCUGGCAGAGCAACAUUAUUACAGGGGAGUGAUUGCUAUGUUUCUCAUAUUCCUUGCUAAUAUCACUAUGCAUGGGCGUAGUCUUGUCUCACAAUGAUUGCUAAGUAUGCUUGCACUAACUAUGAUAAUGCUAGACUAUAUAGUUGAGAAUAACUUAGGGAAUAUUCUUGUAGUUCGUUCUAAUACCAUGCUAAUGACUUUCUAGAGUAUCUAAAUGAGGUGCUUAUCAUAUUUGUUAUGUGGCUAGAUCAGAUUAGUUAUCCUUGUCACUAUUUAUUAUUUCAUAUAUCUUUUAUGUGACACUUAUCCCUGUAUGAAGAGUUAGAUAAAUGUUCUCAAUUAUACAUGCAAUGAUAGAUGCUCAAUCUCAUAUUCUAUUUUGUAAUCAAUAGUGAUGAUUGUUAAUCCCUUUCCAGUGGUAAAAAUAUAAAUAACGAUACCUGGAAUACUUCCUGGUUAAAAUGCUGCAUCGGUAUUAAUCUGUGCGCUUGCAGAUCCCAUUCAUUAUUUAUUUAGAAGAGCAAUUGCAUAUUUCAAUACCGCGUCUCUUAUAUCAUGCUGGGAUGACAACUUGGCUUAAGUGGUGUGAGGGAUAGAUUUGGCAUUUUUGGCACCGUUACUAGAUUUAGAGAACUUAGUCUACUUUUGGUAAUGAUGUUAAGAAUACCCAACAUACGCCGAACGCCUUGCCAAGAGGUAAACUUGGUAGUUAUCCUUUUCCUUUCAAUUAUUUCAAAUAGUUUACUUAGUUAAUCAUGUUCGUACUAUCUUAAAAAGAAAAUAAAAAUGUGAAAAAUAGUAAGCCCCAUGUGAGUAUACGAGUGGCAUAAAACCCAUAAGUACAUUCACUGUGGUGGCAUAAAAAUAAAAUAAAUAUUUCUUUUCUGUUUUAUAAAAUAAAAAUAUAAAAACAGGGAGUAAUAAUUAUUAAGGAGUCUCAACAUGAUAAAGGCUAGAUAUUUAUGCUAACACUUAAUCAGUUCCACAAGCUUUGUUGUCUAUUUGAGCUCCACAAAAUUUAAGAAUCAAGAAGACUAGCAGACGGAGGACAUUCUAAUCGCUGUCACAAUGCUGCUGACUUUCAAAUACACCUCUGCCACCUGCUAGCUACAUCAAGAGAAAUUACGUCAAAAUUCAGCUUGGGGAGAGCACCCCCAUUUAUCCCGAUAAGUAUUUCUAUCUAUCUUUAUACUUAUACUAUAUUAGAAUUAUACAUAACUACGGAAAAAUCAAAUAAAGAUUUUAUGCAUAUAUAUAUAUAUCUUUUGCUUAGAGUGUUUAAUAAAUAAAUAAAGUGGCUAUGUUAAUCUUUAUCUAAAUAAAACUCAAGCAUGGAUAUGAUGAAUAGUUGCUCUGCCUAAUUUGCACAUUUUAAGUUCUCUCUCAAGUUUAGAUAUAACUGUUAUAAUUUAAAGCUUGCUCUAUACCUAAACUUGUGGGAUGAAAACUUGAUCUGAAGUCUAAGUUGUUAACGGAUACGAUAUGGGAAGGUUGAGCUGCUGUUUAUCUGUUCCUAGAGAUGCUAGAAUUUUGGAGAAUUUUAUCUUUGAAAAUCUUUAAAAUGUUGCAUGAUGAGUUCAUGUAUGAUGAGAGUUUUAAAUUCCUACCACAGCCAUAUAUACAUGCUUGCUAGAUUUUGAGCCACACAUUUACUAUUUACUGCUUAUGAGCAUUGAGUGUGGUCAAGCUGUGUAGACCCUUAGGAGCUUGUCAUGUGGUUAAAUCAAGAUUUCACUUGCACGUUCACUCAUAUAUGCUACUUCUACUCCGGAAGUACCAUCCACAUAUAUCCAUCCAUUUCCAUCUACAAAAUCACCCAAAAAUAUUCUACUCCGAAUCCGGGAGAGAAUAACCAAAAAUAUUUCUGUUUUUCCCUUGUAAAAUAAAUGCUCAAGUUAUCUUGUUACUACCACUUGCUAUAUUAUCUCAAGAGAUGAGUGCUCUAAAAAAAAGAAGAAGAAGAAAAAAACGAGGAAAUAAAAAGGAGCAAGUGCUCGGAACCUCGAAAGAAAAAAAAGUGAGACAAGAGGUAAAAAUGGACAAGUGUCCGACAGUAGAAUUAGGGGUACAAGAUACCCACCUGAGAGAAAAGAAAAAGAAGAGCAUCUCAUUCUCCUCAUAAAGUUUCAAAAAGCAAGGAAGGUAUGUAUCCCCUCAAAGAGCAAAAGUAGAAUUAGACUUCCACCACCAUUGAUUUCACCAUUGUUAUCACCAUCAUCACCAUACACCAUUCAUUCGCCACACAUGCACAUCUUGAUUUGGCUUAUUGAUUUGUUUCUUUGGAUCCAUGGUUUGACUAUACAAUAAAUGUCUUGUUAGUAUGUAUACUUUAUCUCCCACCUAUGAGCUCCAGAUAUUAAAGCCUUAUUAGAGUAGGGUGAGAGAGAGAGAGAGAGAGACAAUGUCACUAUGCUUUACACCACAAAUACCACAUAUCUUGAGAGAAGGCAUAUACCAUCACUGCCUUGGUAAGGAUCCAGAAAUACCACAAAAGAGAGAUUUGAGAGAAUCAUACAAGGAAUCUCUGAGUUUUAUUUGAAAAUUUGCAAAAACCCCAGAGCUAUAGCUGAUCAAGAAUAAGAGACAUGGCACUUGGCUAGACUGUUCUAUCUUUUAACCACUCAAGACAGAAGUGACGGUUACAAGUCCCAUGGUGAAGGUAAAGUAAGUAAGUUUUAAGUCUUGACAGUUUACUCUAACUCAGAGAUGAGAUCUUAUUUAAAAAGCAUGUGUACCAUCAAUUUUUAAGAUAUUGCAACAACUUAUGAUCCAUAGCUAAGUCUAUCCUUGCUCAGGGACGAGCAAGAGGUAAGCUUGGGGGAGUUUGUUGACGGUCCUUAAGUAUCAAAUUUAAUUAUCAAAUAAACAAAGAAAAGGAUCCAAAUGAAAUCAACAUCUAGACUUAGGGUUUUAUCUGACAGAAUUCCACGAGUUUUGGUGUUUGUCUAUUUCUGUAGGGGGUUAUCAGGAAAUACGGAAGAAAGGCCCACACGUCGGGAUUACAUAGAGAUAUUAACGUGCCGCGCAAUUAUCUUACAUCUAGAAGACUCCAGAAGCCACGAGACCGAAGCGGAGGCGAAACGGGGCCUGACCCUGGGCGCCCGCCUAGGUGAUCAGGGCGCCCGCCCACCUCCUGAGUCCAAUCAGGACUCUGCUUCGCGGGAGAUCUCCACCGACUUAAAGGAUGAAUCUAAACCAUACAAUCUAAGUCGGUUUGAUCCAACGGCCCAUAUUCACUUGAAGGGACUAUAAAACCAUACCCCCUGGCCCCUGGAGGAGAGAGCCUCUCAACCCUAAUUCAUUGUGCUUCAAGGGAGAAGAAGCC